rnacentral:lncRNA from 1 species
GUGCCCGACCUAGCCGUCCAAGCAUGGACGCUAUCAGUAUCAAAGAGCAUAAGUCGUCAUGAUGCACUUAUUUCAAAACUGGAUACUGGUAAGCCAAAGAGGACCAAAGUUGCCACAUUGCACGGUUCAAACAUGGGCGCCUUAUAUGGUUUUGAGGAUUAAGCCGACUUACUUGGGGCUUACUAGCUCCCAAGUCGUUUUGCAGUAAGAGCGUACGCUUCUGCAAUCCUAUGUCUAGCUUUUCCCUAAUCAUAGGUCACUUGGGGGCUUCCACUCACUGAGUUCAGCCUAAAUACCCUCUUGGCUAGCGAAAAAUUAACGCAUUACAAAUGGUUAUACUGGACUGUGUGUUGGGAAAUCGCCCUAUGAUCCCAUGUACUCUUGGCGAGUCAAUCCGCUUUUGGACCCUGAACUUGCCUUGGUUAAAACAUGAAAGGUACUGGCAAGAGCCAACGCAUGGAAAAUAGACAAACCAUUGGUUCACUGAACCUGCUUCACUGAAGCCUGACUCACGCGUGAUCAGCCGGUCUAAAUAAUUCAGGCUAUUGCAAAAGCCUUCUUGGGGUAACACUAGAGUUUUGCAAACUCGUCUUGUCGUGUCGUGACUCAUCGAGCCGACAAAUUUUAUGAUUAUCUUUGUGGCACUGCCAUAAAGUUUUUAUAAAAAGUUUUAUAACUCGCCGAGACUCACUGAGUCGGCCGCCGUGACUCACUGAGCCGGCUUAACCUCUUUUGGGUACCACUAGAGCCUUGAGAGCUCGUCUUACCCGCCGAGACUUACUAAGCGGGCUAUGGUGUAACCAACACUAUUCUGUCAUAUGCAUGCAUCAUAUUGCAUUGCAUCAUGCAUCAUACAUACAUAUCAUGCCGGUCUUCAAACCGGGUCAAAGCAUAAUUUUUUGCAGGAGCAAAUAUAUCUUUGAAUAGCCAAUUGGCUGGAUUUUCAUCAUGGUUUAUCAUAACCAGUGUUAAAUGAUUGAGGUUUUUAAGGCCAUCUCGGAAGAAUUGACUAUUGUCAAAGAGCCGCCCUAUCACAUAUAAUGCCGAGUCAUCUAAUUGACUGACCCUUGGAUUUCUUCAACUCGUGCUCUGUAGUAAACUGCAACACUUAUGGAUUUCUCCGACAUAUGGAUUUCUCAAGGAUAUAUUUGCCGGGUUACAUUGCAACCAUGGUCAAGGAUUUCUUUUAUCACAAAGGCAUCAUCAGCUCACAGAGUGGAUAUGAUUUUAUUCUACAAUGGAAGGAAUAGUCCCAAGUUGUUGCAGGCACACAACCCGGCACUUGAGGGCUACAUUAUUCAGAUCAAGAUUACAUCAAAAUAUGAAAGUCCCAUGUCGCUGCAAGCAUGCGCCAUGACACUUGGGGGCUAAUGCAAUCCGCUUUUCAAAUCAUCACAUCAUCAACAGACCCGGCUACAGGUCGCUUUUUAUUCAAGUAUGGAUUCAAGGAAGAACCGGCUCAUCAUUUUUAUAAUGACCCGGUCCUUGGGAGCUACACAUUGCUGCUCAAGGUUCCAUCAUCAGAUUUACAAAGUCAUUGCUCAUUAUUUCAUAAUGACCCGACCCUUGGGGGCUACACCAUAUGAUGUUUAAUUUUCAAAGGAGAAGCACGUGGAAGUCCCGAGUCACCACAAACAAUCGACCCGUCACUUGGGGGCUACACUAUUCAGAUCAUAAUUUCUAAAGUCCCAGGUUGCCGCAGGCAAGACAACCCGACACUUGGGGGCUACAUCACUAAGUUGUUUCACAGAUCAUGAGGUUCAAAUUGAAGACCCGGCCCAUCACACACUCAUGACCUGGCUGUUGGGGGCUACAUGUAAUAUGGAUAUAUCAAAAAAUUGAAGAGCACAUUUUAUUUCGUCAUGGAGGUGAAGUAUUGGGAGACCGGUUCAACAUCACAUGGAUUUCUUUAUCCCCAAUAAUUCGAUAUAGUCUUGAGUUCAGUUGUUUGACGAGGCAUUACAAAUAAUAAUGACCCGCCAUUAGCAAUCAUGACCCGCCAUUGUCAAACAUAACCCGCCGAAGCAAGAGAAGCUGGUUCAACAUUGUGUAGAUUUCUUAUUCCCCAAAUUUUCAUCAAGCCAAAGCAUUGGAGGCCGACUCAAUUGCAUUUGUAUUUAUUUUGCAAAGGACAUGGACCUGCAAGAUGAUUGUAAAAAUGACUCAUUCAUAUGGAGAAGAGACCGGAUUUCUGAGGAGCCACUUCAUAAACCAGCCAAGGGAGCGAGCCUGUCACUUAGCAUAUUUGCUAUUCUUAUUUCAGGAGCUUACCAUGAAUAAAUUCAAGCUAACCUGGGGGCUAAUGUCGGGGAUAUACCCCGCGGUAUGACCCGGCACACGGUUAUGACUGGGCAGACAGUUAUGACCGGCAGACAAUUAUAACCCGCCAGACAGUCAAGUUCCGGAGAUGAUUCCCUGAAGAUGAAUCUUAAAGAGCAGCCCGGUUGUAAGCUGCCCGGUCAUAAGUCGCCCGGGACUCAGCAUUCCGUUUGUAAGGAGCCCGGUUGUAAGGAGCCCGGUAGUAAGCAGCCCGGUCGUAAGCCUCCUGGGACUCAGCAAUCUGUUUGUAAGCAACCCGGUCGUAAGCAGCCUGGUUGUAAGUCGCUCGGGACUCAGCAAUCCGUUCGUAAGUCGCCCGGACUCAGAAGCCCACGAAGAGAAGCUCGUAAUGGAGAGUCAUAAUAUGCUAAGCCUAAAUCCGGCUUGGACUCUAUAUGUAACUCGCCCCUUCAGCUUAUAUAAGGAGGGGCGAGACACCCCAAGAGGGUUAGGGUUUUUUAGAGGUCUCAAGAGACAGAUUCACAACUUAGGUGUAGACAAGACAGAUCAUGAGAUAGACAGAUUAGACACCCACGAGAUUAGAGGUGCAGAGUCUGCACCCUUGUAAUCGAGAUCAUCAUCUUCAUCAAUGAAACACAAGCAGGACGUAGGCUUUUUCCUCCAUCGAAGGGGCCAAACCUGGGUAAACUCGCGUCUCUCGAUUCCGACCAACCCCUUCAAGCCGCCACAUGGUUGCGAUGGCCUCACACCUAAGUCCUUGUACGAGGAGAUCUGCCGUGACAAAACCACGACACCGUGCUAGGCCAGAAGGAAGCAUCUCCAAGGGCCAUGAAAGAGAGGAGGCCAUUGAGUUUUCUGUUGACUUUAUUCCUGAUAUUAAGACGAUUGUUGUUCCUCAGUCGCGGCAUGAGGGGAGACUGAGUGGAAAAGGCAUGCUAGGACCAAAAUCAAUAAUAUGUAGGUAUGGGCAUUCUUGGAUGCAAACACACUACAUAAUUUUACAAAAUUCUACCUUGGUGGCCCCGUAUAUCAAUGAACACAAGAAUAUUCUAUGCUCCAAAUACCAGGAGCAGUCUGGUGACUCGAUUACACAUGAACAAAUGGGGACUUUCGACGGUUGGCUGCAAACACGUCUCAGGAGUAACAAAUUGUUGGAGAUGACUUGUAGUUGUUGUCCAGGACACCAUCUUCGGCCGUAUUGACUUUCCAAGGGUACGAGAUAAAUGGGAAUACAUUUUACAAAAUCGCCCAAGAUAAAAAGAGAACCAACCAAAACAGUGGUUUCCGCUUUGAUGCAGGAAACACCAAUAGGGCAAAGGACAAAUAUUAUGGUUACAUAGAGGAGAUAUGGGAACUUGACUAUGGGCGUGAUGAUUUUAAGGUCCCUUUAUUUCGGUGCAAAUGGGUAAAUCUGAUAGGAUGCGGGGUACAGGUAGACCCGCAGUAUGAAAUGACAACAGUGGAUCUCAACAAUCUUGGGUACACAGAUUAACCAUUCAUCAUAGCCAAUGAUGUGGCGCGGGUUUUCUAUGUGAAGGUCAUGUCUACCAAACCAAGAAAAAGGAAAAAAUAAGGAAGUGAAUACAUCAUACGAUGAGACAAAGAGCCACAUAGUUCUUUCAGGGAAAAGAAAGAUCCUGGGAGUGGAGGACAAGGCAGACAUGUCAGUAGAUUAUGAAAAGUUUCAUGAAAUUACUCCCUUCAUAGUGAAGAUUUACCUAAGCAUCCUCUUAAAUGAUGAAGAUUAUUCAUGGUUACGACGCAAUAAGAAAAGGGACAAACUGGAGAGAAUCUUAGCUAGUGCAUUUUGGCAUUUGAAACAUGAUUUUAGAAUAAUUAUUUAUUAAAUUAUGAAUUUUCAAUUAUUCCUGUCCUUUUAUUAUUCAAGAUAAGCCGCUUGAGGUACGAAGGAGAUUGUACAGUUUGUACACGAAGUGCAUCCAUUUUUGUUGUAACCCUCUCAACUUUCUAGACGAUGCUAUGUGGGUGAAAUGAUGAUACCAUGCCAAAUUUCAACCUUUUCCGAGUUCAUUUGUAGUGCUUUUCAAUUUCAGGGUCAUUUGACUCAAAAAACCAUUGAAUGCAUGAAAAAUAGCAAAUGAAGUCAGAAAGGGUUGAAAAUUGCUGAUGUGGCUUUGAAUGGUGCAUAUUGAAUGCGCAAAAAGUUUGGAGUAGAAAUAAGCUUAAAAAUGAAAUGCCUUUGUAACAAAUGAGUUUUUGUCCGAAACCAUCAUACUUUGAAAGAGAUUGUCCAGUUCGUACACGACGUUCAUCCAGUUUUUGCCGUAACUCUCUCAACUUUUUAUCACAUGCUAUGUGGGUGAAAUGAUGAUAGCAUGCCAAAUUUCAACCUUUUCAGAGUUCAUUUGUAGUGCUUUUCAAAGUAAUAUGUGGGUGAAAUGAUGAUCCGGAAGAAACAUUUUGACAGCAUUAAUCGCCCCGUGUCAUAUUUUCAAAAACAUAUUGAUAAACCACCACCCAAUGCUAGCCCUUGAAUGCGAAAUGUUGCGGGAAUGGUACCUAUGAAAAAUAUCUCUAUAGAGCUAUUAGUCACUCUUUGAUGAAAACCUAUAUAAUCAAUCAUUGCAUUCAUACAAUCAUUCACUCUAGCAAGCAUUCCAGUAAUCAAAAUACAAUCAAUGAAUAAAGCAAUAAAUAAAACAAUAAGGUUAUUAGGUUAAAAAAAGUAUUUUAUAAUAUUCUUCAAUAGCAAAAAGAAUCAACUAGAAAGCUUUUAUAAAACUCUUGUUAUGAUCAAAAUAUUAUUAACUUAACAUUAUAUAAAAUUUAACCAACUAAAAUUUUCAUGAAGUAUUUUUUCUUAAAAACUUUAAUAGUAAACAUAAUUAAAUGAAAACUAGGCAUGUAUGCAUCUGUUUAAAAGAAAACUAGGCAUGUAUUUUUUUCUCCAACGUAUCGAUAAUUUUUUAUUGUUCCAUGCUAUUAUAUUAUAUGUUUUGGAUGUUUUAUAUGCAUUUAUAUGUUGUUUUAUAUUAUUUUUGGGACUAACCUAUUAAUCUAGAGUCUAGUGCGAGUUUCUGUUUUUCCACAUUUUUGAAUAUUGUAGAUAAAGAAUAUUAAAUGGAGUCCAAAUGGAAUAAAAUCUGCGAAAAGAUUUUUUUCUCGACGAGAAGACACGUAACAUACUUAGGGUAGGGGGCAAGGCAGUUGUCGGGAGGCCACAAGCCUGCAGGGAGCAACGAGAACACUUUUACGCCGCCGGGAAACCCCUGCACGUCUUCUAACCCUAACUCUUGGCCUAUAAAUUCCCAAAUAUUCCAGAAACACUAGAGGGAGCAACGAGAAUGCUUUUACGCCGCCGGGAGCCUCUGUUCCCAAGAGAUCCAAUCUGGAAGCCUUGUCCGGCAAUCUGCUGGAGAGGGAAUUGAUCACGGAGGGCAUCUACAUCAACUCCAUUGCCCCUCUGAUGAUGUGUGAGUAGUUCACCACAGACCUAUGGGUACAUAGCUAGUAGCUAGAUGGCUUCUUCUCUCUCUUUGAUCUUCAAUACGAUGUUCUUCAUGAUCUUCAUGGAGAUCUAUCCGAUGUAAUACUCUUUUGCGGUGUGUUAGUCGAGAUCCGAUGAAUUGUGAGUUUAUGUUCAGAUUAUCCAUGAAUAUUAUUUGAAUCUCUUUUGAAUUCUUAUAUGCAUUAUUUCAUAUCCUUGCAAUUCUCUUUGAAUUAUUUGUUUUGUUUAGCCAACUAGAUUGAUAAUUCUUGCAAUGAGAGAAGUGCUUAGUUUUGGGUUUAAUCUUGCGGUGUCCUCACCCAGUGACAGUAAGGGGUAGCAAGGCACGUAUUGUAUUGUUGCCAUCAAGGGUAAAAAGAUGGGGUUUUCAUCAUAUUGCUUGAGUUUAUCCCUCUACAUCAUAGCAUCUUACUUAAUGUGUUACUCUGUUCUUCAUGAACUUAAUACUCUAGAUGCAGGCAUGAGUCGGUCGAUGUGUGGAGUAAUAGUAGUAGAUGCAGAAUCGUUUCGGUCUACUUGAUACGGACGUGAUGCCUAUAUGCAUAAUCAUUCCCUUGGAUAUCUUCAUAAUUAUUUGCUUUUCUAUCCAUUGCUCAACAGUAAUUUGUUCACCCAUCGUAUUAUUUUCCUUUAUGAGAGAAGCCUCUAGUGAAACCUAUGGCCCCAGGGUCUAUUUUUCAUAUCAUAUUUUCAGAUCUAUAAACCAAAAAUACCAAAAAUACUUUGCUACAAUUUAUUUACUUUAGUUUUACUUUCAGAUCUAUCAAUAUUUAAUACCUAUCUCUAUCAGAUCUCACCCUUGCAAAUAACUCUCAAGGGAUUGACAACCCCUUUAAAGCUUUGGGUGCAAGUUUUUGAUUAUUUGUGUAGGUACUACUAUUGGAGUCUUGUUUGUUACUCCUACUGGAUUGAUACCUUGAUUGUCAACAAACUGAGAGAAAUACUUAUCUACUUGGUUGCAUCACCCUUUCCUCUUCAAGGGAAAAUCAACGCAAGCUCAAGAGGUAGCAAGCGCCGCCCCAAUCCCCUACACUUCAUUAACCCUGAUGCCCUCGGCGCCGUCGCCUCCCACACCGUUGCCGACGCGCCCCCCACGCUAUCCCCGAGCCCUUCCUCGUCGCCGACGCCUCUUCGCUAUGAGUGCCCCCCGAUCCCCUCCUCCCGUCGAGGGAGUUGAAAAUGUUUUGGCAAAACGUGGGUUCAUUUAUGUAUCAUCGAAUUUCUGGCAUUCAGUAUGUCCAUUUUUUACCAAUGGUCUUGUCAAUUUUUCCAUUGAUUUUUUAUUCUAUGCAUGCAACACAAAAUGGAAGAAUGCCCGUAUAGUUUUGACGCAGCUGUAUGUGCGACGAUCCUCACCUUGACUAUAGUAAAUGUUAUUCCAUCACUCUACAAUGUGACUACAACUAUUAUAAUUUUAAGUUUGCUAGCAAAUACAAUUUUCUGUUUUCCUUCAAACUGUAAUUUAUGUUUUAUAUUUGUCAACUAGUGUGUCCCUUGCUAUGCAAGACCUUUUCUCCUAGACAAAUUUUUUGUUAGUGACAUGGAAGAAGUGACUCAGAUGACUACUUACCUCAAGAUGAAAGGUGGUUUCAAUUUCAAAUGUACGAUCUAUAAUUAGGUAGAUCAUACAUAUUCUAGUUGUGCUAAUAGAAAGGAUUGACCAAAGCAUACGGUUUUGAGCCUGUUAUGAAAAUAACAUUUGAUAUUGGCACAUAUUCUGUAAGUGAUGACGACACAUGGGUGAAUUUAGACAUGAUGCCCACCUCCGUGUAAGUUUCUUAGAUAGGCUUGUUAAAUAACACUUAGAUUAUACACCAAAAUAGAUGUUAUUCAACUAGAACUUAUCUUCUUUAUUUAGAAUUGAUAGCUUAUUUUCUAUCUCCAAGAAAUAUAAGGGACAUAGUAGACGACACCUAUUACACUAUCUGCAGUAUGCUUACUUGGCAGGAAAAAUGUUACCUUAUGUUCUUUCUUGCUAACAUUGAGUCCCUUAAGGGCAUUUAUGGGGCUUGUCCGAAUGAUGCACGACACCUGCCACUAGUCCAUACCUUGAACAAAGGCAACAUUUGUGGAAAAUGCAUGGUAAGAGUUUCGACUAUAGCAUGUCUUUCACAUAUUUGCUUUCUUCUUACAGAAGUCAAGUGUCGGUUACUAAAUGUUGCUUAGUAUGUUACUAUUUCGUUCAAGGACAGAAGCUCUCAAGAUGGGUUGUGCCUCCGAUGAUGGAUGACCACGAGGAUGUUAUGGCAAUUAUUUUUGCCCACAAGAUCUAUUUCAGAGGUACAUACUUGAUUACACUAGAUGGGCAUCUUAAAAUAAAUGAAUGGAAGCAACUAGUGAGUGACUGCAACUUGAAGAUUGGGGAUUGGUGGCUCUGCGUACUCCACCAUGGAGAUGCAGGGUUUUUUCUAUACUUCAAGAUUGUUCCUACAGGAGAGGAGUACCGUAUUAGUAGUUACGAUGGUUAAUGUUUGUAUAUAUAUAUAAAUGAUGUGUACCAUAAUAUUAAUUAUAUUUUACGUGUUGUAAUAUCUCAUCGGCAUCAAUUUGGGAUGCAAAUGUGGUUCUCUAUAUAAUGAUACAAAAUUGCGUUGUCGUGGAGGCAUUUUUCGCUGCCAUGGCAGCAUUUUUGCUGCGUUUUGUCAAUUAGUAAUGACGUGUGGAAAAAUGUACGACGUCCGUAAUGAUCUCCCUAGUUUCUAACAUUUGGAAAGAUUGCACGCUAUAUAUAUGUAUGAUAUUGUUGUCAUGGAGAUAUGACCAACGCCAUAGCUACCUGAAAUACUGUUGGCGCUGGCUCCAACGUCACCACAAUUUUUAAUUGAUGCGCCAUAUUGGUAGUAUCGGGUGUCCAUGCCAGUAAGGCCGUUUUUACCACUCCAUAGAGAAGCUUUUCUACACUAGUGUUAAUUUCAAUCCAGUUGAAAGUCACCCUUUACUCGCAAGUAGUCUCGUACUUUGUUCUUCUCCUUGUUGCAAAUCCCUUCUCGAGUCGCAAUUGGGCCUGUAGUAGGUGUUUUUGCACUUGCAAGUUCAUCCCUCGACUCGCAACUGGGCCCAUACGUGUUGUCGACUUACCGUUUUGAAGCCCAUGCCUGGGCUCGCAACAAGGCCCAUAUGUGUUGUAGUCUUCCUCUUUGCAAGCCCACCCCCUCGACUCGCAUCCCUCCCUAUAGUUUUUUCUAACCCAGUUUCAAGUCCAUCCUUCACUCACAAACCGGGCCCGUACUUUUUGCUCUUUCCAAGUUAUAAGUCCCCCUCGAGUCGCAACUAGGGCCCAUAGGGUGUAGUUGUUGUCCCACUUGCAAACCCAUCACUCGACUCGCAAUUCGGGCCCAUGGGUGUUUCCAACUAGGUUCUAAGUUCAUCCUCCUCUCGCAAUUGGGACGUAUCUUUUGUUUUUGUCCCAGUUACCAGUCCUGCUCGAAUAGCAACUCGUCUCAUAGGUAUUCUUUUCUUCCCAAUUUCAAGCCAAUCCCUUGGACUCGCAACUUGGCUCCUAGUUAUUUUCAACCGAGUUGCAAGUCCAUUUUUGACUUGCAAAUGGGCCCAUAUUUUUUAUUCUUGCACCCAUUUCAAGUCCCCCCUUGACUUGUAACUCGACCUGUACUUGCCCUUGUCCUAGUUGCAAGUCCCCCAUCGAUUCGAAAUGGGCCCGUCGUAAGUGUGGUCCGACUUGCAAUGCAUUCCUCGACUCACAACUGGCCCCAUAUGUGUUGGUCUUCCCUGUAGCAAGCCUACCUCUCGAUUUGCAACUUGCCAUGUACUUAUUUCCAAUCCCGUUGCAUGACCAUCGACUAGCAAGUCCACCGAUGUUGGUGUCGUCCUGGUUCCAAGCCCGCCCCUCAAAUCUCCUUUACGCCAUUCACUGCGGCACAAUGUCAUUGUAUCACACAACGGUAGAAGCGAGCAAAUUGCAGAUGGAUCGGCCCAAGUCGCUAUGAUCCAUUUUGCUUGUCUUGUUUUUCUUCAUGGUUUGUCCUUGUUUAUCAGCCUGGGCAUUUGGGUACCCUAACCCGCUACCCGAGCCCGAACUGAACCGAAUUACUUGACAAUUCGGGUAAUUCGGGUAUCGGGUUAGGGUUCGGUUCUCAUUUCCUGGCUAUUCGGUUUUCGGGUUGGGGUUCGGGUUCUAGUCUGAAAAACCCGAAAUACCCAUACUACUCGAAUUAUUCAUACUAGCCAAAUUAUUCAUGCUAUUAUUACACUCACAUGUUACCCAUACUAACUAAAAUAGCGAGACUAUCCAAAAUACCCACACUACCCAAAUUAUUUAUACCAAAAUUUGAUGUGUGCUCCAAAUAUUUUGGGAUCUUUGGGUACCCAAAUUAUCCGAACCAAAAUUUUGGGUAAUUUGAGUUUGGGUACUUUUUUGGCAGAAAAAUUCGGGUUCCCAUUUUGAGUACACAAAUUACCCAUAAACCGAACUAUCCGAACCGAAAUAACCAAAGUACCCGAACGCCCACGUUGACUUGUUUAUCCCUUUUUUCCUUUUUUUUCUUCGCUAGCUUUUCUUUCCUUUUUAAUUUUUUUGUUUUUUAAAAAUAUUAUUUUUUAUUUUCAUUUUAUUAUUAAUCAUUGUUUAGAAAGUGUAUAAUUUGAAAAAAAAAAUCUUUUUCAAAAAGUGCUUGGAUUUUUCAAAAGCAAAUUAAGUUCUUGUUAUUCAAAAAAUAAUUGCAGGUUUAAAAAAUGAUUGUGUUUUAAAAAAAAUACUCAAAUGCUGAAAUAUUUAUUCCAUUUUAAAAAAAUGUUCACAAAUGAUGUCCGUCUGUCAGUAACUCUUAAGCUUUACAUAUACUGGACCAAGGGUGACACCAUGUUAGAUGACCCCUAGUCACAAAAAACAAUUCAAAAACUUAAAAAUUGUUUGUAUUCUCAUAAAUAUCCCUCAUAUUUCAAAAUUCUUCAUAAUUUGCAGAAAAAUUAACUUCUUUUCAAAAAUGUCUACAAAUCUUCACGCUUUACUUUGUUCUUAAGUGUUUCCCGCUUCUAAAACAUCACAAACAUUGAUGUGUUGUAAUGGUAAGAGUUGGUGCUCAGCAGUAUGAGGUCCUAUGUUUGAUUCUUUAGGAGCGCAAUAUGUAUCUCUUUUUGUUGCACUUAAAAAGAAUCCAAAAAACAAAUAUUCCCUCGGUGCCUAAAUAUAAGUCUUUUAGGAGGUUUCAGUAAGGGGACUACAUGCGGAUGUAUAUAAACAUAUUUUAGAGUAUAGAUUCACUUAUUUUGCUUCGUAGGUAAUCUCUAGUAAAAUCUUUAAAAAGACUUAUAUUUAAAAAUGAAGGGAGUAAUAAAAGUUAGAUGUGAGGUAUUAUGUCACGUCUAGAUGAGAUGUGACAUAGUUGGAUCCUUUCCUUUUGGUGGAGUAUUUUGCCCACGGCCUGGAUGCAGGAGGCCCAACCGUGGCUUGAGAGCAGAAAUAAUAAAUCACGGCAUAAUGAGCAUUGUAGUUAGCAAGUCCUUGCCGGUGGUGGUCGUCGGCCCUUGCGCCGGCAUCGUCCAUCUCUCCUCUUUCGACAGGUGCAUGCCUCCCUUCCCAGUCACUCUGCUUCUUGUCUUCAACCAGCCAAUCGAAGACCCCGUCGAGACCAUCAAGAAGGCGCUGUCGCAGGCGCUGAUGCACUAUCCCCCGAUGGCCGGCCGCACCGGCGACGACGGGGAGGGGGAGCUCCACAUCGCUUGCACCGGCGAGGGUGUCUCUUUCGUGGGUGCGUCGGCUAGCUGUGCCCUCGACGACGAGGCCACGAGAUCGGCGCUGCUCCUCAGCGACCUCGCCGUUGGCUACCCCGCCGAAUACUGCCGCCUCAGCGACCCCUUCCUGCUUAUGCAGGUGACCGAGUUCUCCCGCGGCGGGUUCAUCGUCGGCGUGACGUGGAACCACGUCAUGGCCGACGCGGCGGGGAUGGCGCAGUUCCUGCGGGCCGUUGGCGAGCUCGCCCGGGGGAUGCCGGCGCCGGCCGUCGCUCCGGUCAGGUCUGAAAUCGACGGCUCGGUGCCACGACUCCCGCCGCUGAUGGUCGCCGCUGUGAGGUCCCAGAUGCGCAUGGAAACGGAGGAACUCGCGAGCCUCGACGUCACCAUCCCCUCGAGCUUGAUCGGCCGCAUCAAAGAAGAGUGCGCCGGCGACUGCACGGUGUUCGAAGCCGUCGCAGCCGUGCUCUGGCGGUGCCGCACCCGCACGGUCAUCUCCGAUGCUGACACCGACGACCCUGUGGCCUUCGCCUUCCCGAGCAACGUGCGCGGCCUCGUCGGCGCCAAGGAAGGCUACUACGGCAAUUGCGUCGCCAUGCUGCAGGUCCAAGCCAGUAGCGCCGCGGUGGCGAGCGGCGACAUGAAGGACCUGGUGAAGCUCAUCAAGCUUGCAAAGGAGAAGGUAUCAGACAUAUUCGUGAAUGCCGGCGACGAGACCAGCGACGGUGCCAGUAGAGAUGAGCAGCAGCGGGCACACCCGCGCUCAAGGUACAACACGCUGAGUGUCACGAGCUGGAGGAACCUUGGGUUCGAAGCCGUGGAUUUCGGGCCUGGGAGGCCGGCGCGCGUGAUGUGGAAGCCACACCGGACGAUUGGGUUCGUCUGCGUUGUGUGCCCGCCGUGCAAUGCAAGGGGGGAGGACGGCGUCAACGUCGCGUCCUUUUGCGUCAAGCCGGAGCACGCCGGCGCGUUUGUAGCGGAGUUGGCGGCCCUCAACAUAUAAAUGCGAAUUCGUAGUAUCAUGUACUAGUAUCAUAUAAUCCCUCCGUUCCUAAAUAUAAGUCUUUUAAUCAAUUUCACUAAGAGACUACAUACAGAGCAAAAUGAAUAAAUCUACAAUCUAAAGUAUGUCUAUAUACAUCCGUAUAUAGUCCUUUAGUGGAAUAUCUAAAAAGACUUAUAUUAUGGAACGGAGGGAGUAUAUGAUAGUAGUGUAUGAUACCACAUCCGUAAUGCAUAGUAUCAUACGUUACUAUCAUAGAAUAGUUCAUUUAUUGUAAUGCAAGACACAUACAGUAGACCAAGCAGCUAGCUUGGUAAGCUACCAGCAAAAACUUGCAAUCAAUCAAAAAAAAAGACACAUACAGUAGUAGCACAUCAUUUAAUAUGAUACGAUAUCAUGGUAUGGUACUCAACCCUUUCUUUUUUCAUUUAAUUCUAUGUCACCUCAUCGAAAUUGCCUAGUUGGCAUGCAUGUACUACCUAUGAUACUACCAUUACGGGCAGCUUAAUACUUCAUUUUCAAUCAGAGUGUAAACCUAAAAUGGACGAAUUAAUUAGUCUCGCACUUUUUUUCAUACUACUCCAUCUGUCCCGGUGUAUAAGUCAUCUUACGAAACCAAAUAAUUUCAAAAUACUUAACCGCGGUAUUUUUUUUUAAUUUUUUGACAUGAAUAAAGGAAUCACCAAUAAAAGGCGGGAGACAUGUAUGUUUUUAAUGAUGUGAGACUAACUAGCACGACAUGCGGUGAUCAAUUCAUUGCAUGUAAUUGUAUUAAUUAGAAAACUAGCAUUGAUUUUUCUCGUUUUCCUUUUCGUCUUUGUCACGGUACAUAACCUAAGAUGACUUAUACACCGAAACGACGGGAGGAACAAACAUGCAUGCCCACACCACGUCUCUCUUCUCGUACUUGUAUGCCGUGCCCUUUUGCAUAAAGUCCGAGCAAUUCGACGCUUUGUUAGUGGAGUUGACUGCCCCCAAAAUAUAAUGCCAACUACAUCUUUGAUGGUGCAUGUUGCAAGAACCGCCUAUUUUUAUGAAAUAAUAAAUAGUUUUUAUUUAUAUAUUUGUCCAUAAAUAAAGUUUUAAAAGAUGGAUAUAAAUUUAUUCUUAAAGUUUAGAUGAUGCAAAUAGUUGAAAAGUAUUUGCCCUACUCAUACUAAGUAACAUAAUACAAAUAACAUUAGGAAUCAGUUCUUUGAGCUUGUGUUGGACCCUGAAUUUUAUGAAACAUACUUACAUUAAUAAAAUGGUUGCAUGCAUCGUCAUGAUACAGAGACCGGGGACGAUCCUUGUUUUAUUUUUGAAAAGGCUUGCAUGGCAAGUACAAUAAAGCCCAAUCAACCACAUGUCUUCAAAACUGCCACAAGAAUAGUGGCCCAAUAGGACAAACAUGCCAGAUCACGGUAAACUGAAGCUGGAACAGAGAUCUAAAGGCUAGAAAUGAUCUAAACGUGAAAUACAACGACCGAAAUUUGUUGGGCGCUCAGUUUAGAUGCACUUUUAUUGUCCUCAAUUCAUAGUGCAUUUACAAUUCCCAAAAUAAUUUCUUCAAAUUUUGGGGUGAACCUAAAAUGGACCAAUCAAACGAUCCCAAACGGUUUUCUCAUAUAUGGUUACCUUUGCUUAUUGAUUUUUUUAGUACGGUUCAUAAGUUUUUCUUGAAUGAUUUUAAGAUUGAUACGCCUCUGCGACGAGGACCCCGACGCCUCUGCGCCCCUCGCGUUCACGAGCAACGUGUGUGGUCUCAUCGGCGCCAAGGAAGGCUACUACGGCAACUGUGUCAUCGUCCAGGUGAUACAAACAACAAGCGGUACAGUGGCGAGCGGAAAAAUCAAAGACCUCGUGGAGCUCAUCGGGCUUGCCAAGGAGAAGGUAUCAAACAUAUUCGUGAAUGGUGGCGAUGAGACCGGUGCCGGUGGUGGAGAUCAACAUCAGCUGGCAGCCGCGAGGUACAACACUCUUUGUAUCUCGAGCUGGAGGAACGUUGGGUUUGAAGCUGCGGAUUUCGAGGGUCGGCUGCGCCUCUAGCCACACAAUAUACAGCUCUUUUUAAUAUUGUACAAAGUAAGGAUUCUUAUGUUGCUACAAUUAUGCAACCAGUUCCUCUCAAUAUUCAGUUUAGGAGAUCUCUAGUAGGGGAAUGAUGCAAUGCAUGGCUCCAUCUAGUUCGCAGAUUGAUGGAAAUUCACUUGUCGGAAGAACCUGACACGAUUCAUUGAAGAUUAACUAUAAGCGGUAGUUUUUCAGUGAAAUCAAUGUAUCUGGAUAUUAUCAAUGCCGUAAUAAUACCCACUUGUCCACACAUUUUGAAAAUUAAAGUAUCUCUGAAGAUUAAGAUUUUCACGUGGUUUGUUCAUAAAGGACUUAUACUUACAAAAGAUAAUUUGGUUAAACGAAAAUUGGUAGAGGUAAUUCUAGAUGCUGCUUUUGUGAUCACAACGAGACUACUAAACACCUCUUUCUCGAGUGCCCUUUGACAAGACUUUUUAUGGUGUAGAUACGUCUCCAGCGUAGCUAUAAUUUAUAAAGUAAUCAUGCCAUGUUUAUCAUAAUUCUAUAUGAUUUUGGUAUGGUUUGAUUAGAACUAACCCGGACUGACGUUGUUUUCAGCAGAACUAUUGUGGUGUUGUUUUUUGUGCAGAAAUAAAAGUUCUUCAAAUGCAACAAAACUUUUAGACAAUUUUUUAUAUAAGGAAAUAGCCCGAGGAAGCUUCGAGGAAGAACCAGAAGAUGCUCAGGGUGCCCACACAACACCAUCGCACGCCCCCUGGGCGCGCCCUGAUGUUGUGUGGCCCCCCUGAGGCCCAUCUCCGCGUGAUUCCGACACUGAAAAAUCAUAUAUAUCAAGAAACCUCCGAAAGUUAACUAAGAACUUGGACUCCGCCGCCGCACGCCACUGUAUCCUCCAAAAAGCAAUCUGGACCCUCUUCCGGCACCCUGUCGGAGGGGGAAAUCAUCACCGGAGGCCAUCUUCAUCAUCCCGACAGCCACCAUGACAUGGAGGGAGUAGUCCACCCUCGAGGGUAGGGGUAUGUACUAGUAGCUAUGUUUUUGAUAUCUCUCUCCUGUGAUAAUGAGAUGUCACGAUCUUGAUGUAUCAUGGGCAUUGUUGAUAUAGAUGGAUCAUAUGAUGUUUCUCUCCUCUCCAUCCUUGGUGUGAUGAAUUGAAUCUUUUCCCUUUGAAGUUUUGUUAUUGUCAGAUUGAAUAUUCAGAUUUGGGAACACAUGAUGUAUGUCUUGCAUAAUCAAUAUUCGAGGUGACAAUGGGGUAUCAUAUUGAUUCACUUGAUGUAUGUUGUGGCACUCAACUUGCUGAUUCCUGUACUGACAUUGGGGUAAUCUAUGCAUAUGGGUUGAUGCACGUUUUCAUUAUCUUUUCUCUGAUAGAAACUUUGGGGAGUCCUUGUAGUUCUUUGUGUGGAUUGAAUAUUAUGAUUAUGAAGUUGUUUGAUGCAUAACGUAGAAUCAACUCACGAAUACUUGUGGUGACAUUGGAGUAUCUAGGUGACAUUAGAGUUGGUUGAUGUUGGGGAUAUAACCCCACGGUAUAAACCGUCCUAUUGGUCUGGGUUACUGAAGAUGGUGACUCAACGUUCAUAGUCAGGGCGGCCCCUGAUGUGCAAGAUUGGAGGCGCAAGGCGGGUCACCAAGAUGAGACCGUUGGCGGCCCAGGACACGAAGAUGGCGAUUUAAGGCCCAAAAGGAAGAAGGUCGCCAGGAGUUUCCUUGCUUAGGAGCAAGGCGAGUUAGAGACAUAUCGGGUCACAAAUCAUAACGUGACCCGGGUUCUUGUAAGCUUAGGGUCUCGACCUGUAUAUAAAGGCGAGUCCCCAAGGACAAUAGACUUAAGUUACAAUCCAUCGAGAGCCAAAUCAAGCGAAUUCGCACCCUUGUAAUCAAUUUCAUCAUCAAUAUACACAAAGCAGGACGUAGGACUUUACCUCCAUCGGAGGGGCCGAACCUGGGUAAACUCGUCUCUCGUUCCCGAUCAACCCCUUUGAGUCGCCGCAUAGUUGCGAUGGCCUCAUCACUAAGUCCUUUCACGAGAAAAUAUGUCGUGACAAAACCAUGACAGUUGGCGCCCACCAUGGGGAAGUCGCACGAUGGAGUUGAGUUCUCAAAGGGAGCCCUUCUAGGGUUCUGGAGCUACGCAGUUGGUCUUGUUGGAAAUAUUCCGUAGAGGCAAUAAUGAAAUAGUUAUUAUUAUAUUUCCUAUUUCAAGAUAAUCGUUUAUUAUCCAUGCUAUAAUUGUAUUGAAUGGAAACACAAGUGCGUGUGUGGAUACAUAGACAAAACAAUGUCCCUAGUGAGUCUCUAGUUGACUAGCUCGUUGAUCAAACAUGGUUAAGGUUUCCUAGCCAUGGACAAGUAUUGCCAGUUGAUGACGGGAUCACAUCAUUAGGAGAAUUAUAUGAUGUACAAGACCCAAACUAUAACCGUAGCAUGUGAUCGUGUCAUUUUGUUGCUAUUGUUUUUCUGCAUGUCAAGUAUAUGUUCCUAUGACCAUGAGAUCAUCUAACCCACUGACACCGGAGGAAUUCCUUGUAUGUAUCAAACAUCGCAACGUAACUGGGUGAUUAUACAGGUGUUCUACAGGUAUCUCCGAUCGUGUCCGUUGAGUUAGUAUGGAUCGAGACUGGGAUUUGUCACUCCGUAUGACGGAUAGGUAUCUCGGGGCCCACUGGGUAAUAGAACAUCACAAACAUGCCUUGCAAGCAAUGUGACUAAAGAGUUAUCCACGGGAUCUUGUAUUACAUAACGAGUAAAGAGGCUUACCGGUAACGAGAUUGAAAUAGGUAUGGAGAUACCGACGAUCGAAUCUCGGGCAAGUAACAUACCGAAGGACAAAGGGAAUGAUACACGCGAUUAACUGGAUCCUUGACAUAGAGGUUCAACCGAUAAGAUCUUCAUAGAAUAUGUAGUAUCCAAUAUGGGCAUCCAGGUCCCGCUAUGGUAUAUUGAACAGAGAGUGUCUCGGUCAUGUCUACAUAGUUCUCGAACCCGCAGGGUCUGCACACUUAAGGUCCGGUGACGUUUUGGUAUAGUUGAAUUAUUGAUAUUGGUAACCGAAUGUUGUUCGGAGUCCCAGAUGAGAUCCCGGACGUCGCGAAGGUUUUCCGAAUGGUCCGGAGAGGAAGAUUAAUAUAUAGAAAGUAUCCAUUUGGCUUCCGGAAGGUUUCCGGGCAUUACCGGUAAAGUACCGGGAGAGACGAAUAGGUUCCGUAGUUCCACCGGGAGGGGCCACUCACCCGGGAGAGAACCAAAGAGGCCCAGGGUGGCACACCAUCCCCUGGUGGGCUGGUGGCCAGCCCAAGUGGGCCUGGUUCAGACGAAGGAGGAGAAAGGAAAGGAGAGGUGGGGCAAACCGAAAUAGGAAGGGACUCCUCCUCCCAAUCGGAUUGGAGGGUGACUCCUCUUCCUUCCAUGGCGCGCCAGCCAACCCUAGGGAUUUUUCCCUAGGGCGCCACCCCUCCCUCUCUCCUAUAUAUAGUGGAGGUGAGAGAAGCUUUUGGCACCCAAGCCAUAGUACAACCCUCUCUCCCUCCACCACUUCGUGACACCCCGUAGCUAGUUCGGUACGGCACGGCGAAGCCCUGCCAGAGUAACUCCACCACCAUCACCGCCACGUCGUUGUGCUGCUGGAGAGUUCAGCUACCUCUUUGCCUCUCUUGCUGGAUCCACAAGGCAGAGAUCGUCAUCGAGAUGUACGUGUGCUGAAUACAGAGGUGUCGUCCGUUCGGUACUAGAUCGGGACGGACUUCGUGGGACGCUUGCGAUUCGGAUUGCGAAGACGUUCGACUACAUCAACCGCAUUUAUUAACGCUUCCCGCUUAGCGAUCUACAAGGGUAUGUGGAUCCGAUCUCCCCUCUCGUAGAUUAUCAUCACCAUGAUAGGUUUUGCGUGUGCAUACGAAAUUUUUUGUUUCCCAUGCGACGUUCCCCAUCAGUGGUAUAAAAGCUAGGUUCAUGCGUAGAUGAUAUCUUGAGUAGAACACAAAAGAGUUUGUGGGUGUUAAUGUUCAAUUUUCUGCCCUCCUUAGUCUUUUCUUGAUUUAGCGGUAUUGUUGGAUUGAAGCGGCCCGGACCAACAUUCCUCAUGCGCGUACGAGAGACCGGUUUCAUCGACUAACAUUCAACUUGUUGCAUAAAAAUGACUGGCGGGUGUUUGUUUCUUCAACUUUAGUUGAAUCGGAUUUGACCGAGGUGGUCCUUGGAGAAGGUUAAAUAGCAAUUUGCACACCAUCGUUGUGGCUUUGCAUAAGUAAGAUGCGAUCAUACUAGAUACCCAUAGCAGUCAUGUAAAUUUUGCAACAACAAAUUAGAGGACGUCUAACUUAUUUUUGCAGGGUAUGCAUGUGAUGUGAUAUGUCCAAUGACAUGACAUGAUAUAUUGGAUGUAUGAGAUGAUCAUGUUGUAAUAAUUAAAUAUCGACUUGCACAUCGAUGCUACGGCAACCGACACGAGCCAUAGGGUUGUAUUUAAUUAUUUUGUGCUUGGUGAUGCUUUUCUUUAUCGCUAGUAGUAGCUUUAGUAGUAACAUCAUAGUUAGCGCGACAACCUCGAUGGAAGCAUGAUUAUGGAGAUGAUGGUGUGGCGACGGUGACGAUGGAGGUCAUGCCGGUGCUUUGGUGAUGGAGAUCAAGAAGCACAAGUUCAUGGCCAUAUCAUGUCACUUAUGAUUUGCAUGUGAUGUUAAUCCUUCUAUGCACCUUAUUUUGCUUAGGACGACGGUAGCAUUAUAAGGUGAUCCUUCACUAAAAUUUCAAGAUAAAAUUGUUUUCUCCCCGACUGUGCACCGUUGCGAUAGUUCGUCGUUUCGAGACACAAAGUGAUGAUCGGGUGUGAUAGACUCUACGUUCACAUACAACGGGUGCAAAACAGUUGUACCACGCGGAACACUCGGGAUAAACUUGAGGAGCCUAGCAUGUACAGACAUGGCCUCGGAACACAAGAGACCGAAAGGCCGAACAUGAAUCAUAUAGUUGAUAUGAUCAACAUGGAGAUGUUCACCAUUGAAACUAAACUCAACUCACGUGAUGAUCGGACUUGAGUUAGUGAAUUUGGAUAAUGCGACACUCGAAUGACUAGAGGGAUGUCAAUUUGAGUGGGAGUUUAUUAGUAAUAUGAUUAGCUAAACUCAAUUAUCUUAAACAUAGUCUAAGUAAUCUUUGCAAAAAUUUAUGUUGUAGAUCAAUGGCUCGCGCAGUAGAAACCCUUAAUUUUAAUGCGUUCCUAGAGGAAGCUAAGCUGAAAGAUGAUGGAAGAAACACUGUUGACUAUGCCCGUAAUCUGAGGCUUAUCCUCACGGCUGCCCAAAAGCAAUAUGUCAUUGAUGCAGCACUAGGUGAUGCUCAAAGAGAGAUAAAUUGCCAUCCAGGUACUGGCUAUGGACCCGUAGGUCUGUGGUGAUCCACUUACAUAUCAUCAUGAGGGCAUCAAGGUUGAUGAAGAAGCCCUCGGUGAUCGAUCCGACCUCUGGCAGAGUGCCGAGACAGAGCUCUAGAUGGACCCCCGUCAGAACAGAGACUUGUGGCAGCGUAAAAAGUGUUUCCGGACCUCCGUCGAUGUUUUAGGAUAGAUGAGAAUUUAUAGACUAGAGAACAGAGUCGGGAGAGCCGCGAGGGGGCCACAAGCCAUUAGGGCGCCCCCUGACCGCGCCCUGUUGGCUUGUGGGGCCCUCGUGCACCCUCGUGCCUCCUUUCGAUGCUCCACGGUCUUGUUUUAGUCCAGAAAAAAAUCACAAAAAGUUUUAGGUCAAUUGCACUUCACUUGGUACUAAACCGUAAAAAGUGGAAAACACGCAGAAAACAACAACUAGCACUUGGCACUGGGUCAAUAGGUUAGUGCUCAAAGAUAAUAUAAAUUGGUAGAUAAUUAGUUCAUAAAAAAUGUUCUAAAAUGAUAACAUAAUAGCAUGGAACAAUCAAACAUUAUAGAUACGCUGGAGACAUAUCAUUGUACCGCUCGCUAGGGUUUUCUGCAUGGUACUUGUGUGCACUGAUUGUACCGGUGCACGAAGAGGUUGUACUGCUGUAGUGUAAAAACCGUUGUAACAGUUGAAUUUGGGGGCACUAUAAAAGGGGAUGGUUCUUCCACCGACCUUCUUACCUCUUACCUCUCUCUUUCUCUCUCUUUCCUUCAUUAAUGCCCUCCAAGCUUUCUUGCUCGAUCUCUCUUCCACUCAUUAAUGCUAGCAUCAUCGUACAUUUGGAGUCGACACACUUUGCUAGAGGCCGCUACCGGCUAGCCGAGCUGGAUGUGAUCUGACUUGCAACCAAGUGAACGAGAACCUAAGGGGUCGUGCUCUUAAGAGAAGGAUUCUACGAGGUCAUAUACGAGGACACUGGUCGGAUGUGAUCUGAGCUGGACUUAGAUCAUGACCAAGUAGACUUUAGGCUUUAGGAUCCAUGUGAGGCCCAAAAUUGAGACCGCGACGGAUGCCUAUAUAUAAUGGGGGUACCACACACAUAUUCGGUCGAUUGCUUCAGCAUCGUCAUUAGGGCGUUGCAUGUGUUAGAACCACCCACCUCCACUCGCCGCCGGUUGUGUGAUCGGACCUAGCAGUCCGCCACAUGACGUUCCUCCUGCACGUGCGAAUACCGUUAGAGGUGGUGCAGUUGCGCAGCUCCAACGAAGUUGUCCACGGGAUUCAGCGGACGACUGUUUGAGAGACCGGACGAGGAGGGGGCAACUCCUGGGACGCGCUAGCACCACUAUUCGUCCACUACAUUGCGCUCUAGUGGUAACAAUCUGUGAUUCCUCUCCUUAGCAUGUUCCCGGUUAUACAGUGCAUAGGAAUUUUUUUUAUAUUCCAGCCGAUGCACCUAGCGUAGCCCAACACUAUCCCUCCGUCCCUCCCUUCCUUCCUCUCUCUCUCUCUCUCCCUCUCUCUCUCUCAAACACUUAAUACAUGCAUACUUACAUUAGUUUGAUCAUGUUCAUGUGAUUUAAGGUUAAUUGAAUUUGUGGCACUAUCAUAUGAACAAUGAUGGUGCCAAAUCCAUGGCCUAAAUAAGUUGCAUCCAAAUGUACACGGAAAAUAGUUAGAUAAAAAGUAUGAACACAUCGUAGAACAUAUUACAUCGAGAAUCGAUUAUGGUUCUAUACAUAAAAGAACAAAAAUCUCGUGGUGCAAACUAAACAUACGUUUAUAUUAAUUAAAUGUAUGCACAUUUCGUUCCUGCAAAAGAAAUUUGUCCUAUUCGGAAGAAAAGAAAACAAGUUUUGAAAAAUCAUGUAGCAAUUACUAGAAAGAUUACCAGAGUUGAGAUACACAACUAUGGACGUAGCCAUUUGAGAUUAUCCUGUCACUGUCCACGGACCCGCCCGCAGAUGUAUAUAUGUAGUGCUCCAUUUGGCAAUUGGAGUUGCAGAUGCUCUAACUUCCUUCUUUUUUGUGAACCAUGUGAUGAACAAGCUCUCUCGAAACAGGCUUUCGCCCCGCUUUAUAGAUAAAGCACAACGGCCAGAAUCCAACCCACAUGUUCGAACACAAAAAAUAAAAAAGAGAGUCAGGUGGGGCAACAACACAGUCCAGCCCAAAAUAAAGAGAAGAAACAAAAAAUUCCCACACAGGGGCAAGCUAGGCAGCAAGCAAGGGAGAGGAGAGCCGUCGGGCGGCCGCCAUCAACGCGUCCAGGUAGAGCUGAAGUCGGCCUCGAUCCCGGGUCCUAACGAGCGGAUGCCAAUGCUGCAAGAAGGCAAGGAAUUUGAAGAACGAGUCAGAAGCACGCCGCGGAAACACCUUCUCAAUCAUCAUUUUAUUGUGAGUAGUCUAGAGGGUCCACAUCAUAGCCGCGAAGACCAACCAAAACAGUCGGCGUUUAUGACCGACCUGGGUGGCCCGCACCUGUAGAAAAUCUGCAAGGUCAGAGGCCUCCCACUCUGGUCCCAGAGCCUCGCGUACAAAGCAUCAUAGUGCAUGUGCCGCAACGCAUGAGAACAGAAUGUGAGAGCCAUUCUCCGGGACAUGGCACAGGGGACAUAUGCCGUUACCCGGACCAUGGCGUUUCAGCACCUCGGUCCCUGAAGGUAAACGGUCUCGGAGAAGCUGCCAAACAAAAAUCUUGAUCUUCAAGGGCAGCGGGGCCUUCUAGAGUGGGGAUAACCACGGGAGGACCAGCAUUCUGCACAGGGCCAGGUAUGCCGAACUAACAGAGAAUUCUCCCGAGGGAGAGAGGCUCCAAGAGAUACUAUCACUGACCGCCGAGGUCGAGAGGGGAAUCACUGCCAAGAGUAACUCCCAGUCCAGGACCUCAACAGGGCCAAGGGGUCGGCAGAAUGCAACAUGCCAUCCGUCUUCCAGAGCAGCAGCAGAAACCAGGACAGCAGGGUCGGCGCAGAUAGCAAAGAGCCUCGGGAAACGGAAUCGUAAAAGCUCUCCUUCCAACCAGGGAUCUAACCAAAACUGGGUCCCAGAUCCAUCGCCCACCGAGAUCCCCAAACUCAACCUAAUCUCGUGCUUAAUGCUCUGGAUAGACUUCCAGAACUGCGAACCAUUCGCGAGAGAGCAUGCCAAGAGUGGUCUGCCUCGAAGGUAUUUGGCCUUAAUCAAUUGAAGCCACAGACCCCCAUCUCCGUGCAGAAUCCGCCAAACCCAACGGAGCAUCAGGGCCACGUUCAUGAGGCGGGACGCAGGAAUGCCUAGGCCCCCUCAGUCUUUUGGCAAGCAGAUGUCUGCCCAUUUCACCAUGUGAUACUUGGGCCUACCAUUCCCUGCCUGCCAAAAGAAUCUAGCCAGUUCCUUGUCAAAGGCGUUGUGCACACCUUCGGGCAGGAUAUACAACCCCAUCAUAUACAUGGGGAGGCUAGCGAGGUUAGAGCUAAUGAGGAUGGAUUUGCUGCCUUUAGAAGUGAACCUGCCGCACCAGGGUUCCACACGGGAUGCUACUCAUCCCACAAGCGGAUCGAACCCGCUAACCAGAAUCCUGGACUCCGCCAGGGGCAUUCCCAAGUACGAGAUAGGGAAAGAAGCCAGCUUGAAGUUAAGGUUGUCUGAAUCCUGUGAUGCUCAGCCUCAGAGUAGCCGAGGACCACCACCUCACUCUUAUCAAAGUUAAUCUUAAGUCCAGACAUUUCCUCGAAGCAGAGCAAAAGGAACUUAAGAUUGGCAAUGUCCGAGUCCGAGCCUGAGACCAUGAUCAUGGUGUCGUCUGCAUAUUGGAGGUGUGACACCCCACCCCCCGGGAUGAGGUGACCAACCACCCCCUGGAUAUGCCCGGCUAAUCUCGCCUUAUCCAGGAUGCCGGCAAGGGUGUCCACGGCGAGAUUAAACAGCAGGGGGGAGAUAGGGUCCCCUUGCUUUACCCCCCUGGAAGCCCAAAAAAAGGGGCCUAGUUCACCAUUGAUAUUGAUGGCGGUGCUACCAGAUCGAACCAGCUGCAUAAUCCAGGUGCACCACCUCUCGUCAAAUCCGCGCCGCUGCAACACUAACCUCAAGAAGGACCAACCAAGACGGUCAUACGCCUUAUGGAAGUCCAAUUUGAGAAUGACCCCCUUCAAUCCCUUGGACGCCACCUCAUGGACAAUCUCGUGAAGGGCAAGAAUUCCGUCAUGAAUCUUCCUACCCUUCAGGAAUGCGGACUGAAGGGGGUGCGCAAUCCGUUCGGCCACAGGGGACAGACGAGUGGCGCAGACUUUAGCAAAAAUACGCGCCACCAUGUUAAUCACCGUAAUAGGCCUAAAUUGCCGAAUCUCUGCAGCCCCAAGUAGUUUGGGGAUGAGGGCAAUGACUCCAUAGUUAAUCCUGCCCAUGUCCAGAGUGCCUAUAUAGAAUUCAUGGAACAUGGGCAUGAUAACUGGGUGCACGGUCUCCCAGAAUUGCUGGAAAAAACCACCGGGAGGCCGUCUGGCCCCGGGGUCGAGCACACCUUCAUAGAAGCGAUUGUCUGGCCAACUUCCUCCGAGGAAAAUGGGAGAGUGAGUUCCGCAUUCUCCACGUCGGACACCUGAUCAGCUAGCGGCCAGAAGUCCUCACAGAGAGAGGAGCCUCCCCGCAGAUCGGCCGAGAAUAACUCCUUAUAGAAGGAGUAAAUAUGGGAUGAGAUGUCUUCCGGCUUUCCAGAACAGCAUCCCCAUCCCGGAGGAAAGGGAUGACACAUUUCCGCCUUCGGCCGUUGGCGAUGGCCUGAAAGUACGCGGUGUUUGCGUCCCCCUUGAGGAGCCAGUUCUGGCCACCUCGACGUUGCCAGAACAGUUCCUCGGAGCUGAAGAUGCCCAUGAGCUCAGCGUCGAGGGAUUAUGUCUGGAUCCAGUCAUCCGGGGACAGACCUGUACCGUCCGCCAAGUCAUCUAGGGUCUUAAUCUGGCCUAGCAAGGCCCCUUUACGGGCCCGGAGAUCAGCGCCCAAGUUAGCACCCCAGCCCUUCAUGGCCUGGCGCGCCAUCUUGGCACAGUGAUGCCAAAUGUCCACCGCACAAUAGACACGCGGCGGGGAGGCGGCAGCCCAAUGCCACUGGUCGCGGACCAACUCGCGGAAACCAGGCUGAUCCAACCAAAAAGUCUCAAAGCGAAAGCGCCGUGAUCUAGGGGGGAGCCUUCCCCCGACGAGAAGAGCAGGGGCGUAUGGUCUGAGCCAAUCUGCGUGAUGGCCCUAAGCCCGCACAGGAGGAACAUCACUUCCCACUGAGGCGACACAAAGACCCGGUCUAGAACACUCCGGACGGGGUCCGCCUGCUUGUUCCACCACGUGAACCUGGCCCCUACGCGAGCUAUCUCACGUAGCGCCAAGUCUGCAAUGCAGUCAUUAAAAAGACGCAUCUGGGGUCGAUCUACAUUCUGAGAGCUUUUAUCAGAAGCCCACCUAAUAAAUUAAAAAUCACCAGCCACCACUACAGGGGUGGUGCACCUAUCCACCUUAUUCUUUAGCUCGGCGAGGAAUUCUGCGGAGCGGGCAUGGUCUGCCGGACCAUAGACAAUAAUCACCUCCCAGCUGAGGUGGGUACGUCGGUCGGUGAUGGCCAUGCUCACAAUGAACUCCCCCCGGUCCAUGUCCUCCACCGAGAACGCCUCCUCCCGAACACCAAGCAGGAUUCCCCCAGAGUGGCCCGAUGCAGGGAGCCACUGCCAGGAGAACUGGUGGCGGGAGAGCCUCUGAAGCUCGAGCAUGCUAAAGUCCUACCGAAUCGUUUCUUGCAGCCCUACUAUGUCAAUCUCUUCUUGACGCAAAUACUCAACAAGUUGCCGCCGCCGGCCAGGGAGGCCGAAGCCCCUAAUGUUCCAACAUAGGAGCUUCAUUUAACAAUCUCGCCUGGAUUUCUAGGCCCCGCAAGCGGGGCCGAACUAGCCCGCCCGUCAACCUCGAGGCGGGGGAGCGCCUUAGAUGGACGACCCCGGUGUCCCCGAGAAGAGGGGACAUCGGAGGUCGCCGGGCCAGAGGAGGGAGCUCCGGGGCCUGACACUCGCUCCUCUCCACGUGUCUCAGUGGGGUUGAGACGGGUAGGCGGCCGCCCCCUGGGCUUCCGGACAGAGGGAAGCCCACCUAUGGGCGGCACAGGACCAACUGCAACCGCUGCCGGAGGUGCGCCACCAGCCCUGGUCUCUCUAUGACCAGGACCGGCGUGCACCGGGGGAGAGGGGGAGUUGGAGCGCGCGGCGAGACAGCGCGCUUCCGCUAACACCCCCUCAAGCCUCUCUUUCGCACAGAGGGCGGAGAUAUGCUCAAGAGGGGGACCUUUCUCCCCCCGAAACACAAUACUACUGUUCGCAGCCACAACAGCCAAAAGGGGCACCAAAUCGCUAGAGAGAACAGAAAACCAAGAACCAGAGCCAGAAGGGGGAGGAGAGGAGGCGUACCUGGGAACAGAUCGCGGGCCGCAGCACGCCGGGCCGCCAGCUCAGGCAUCGUCGGGACGCGGCCGUCCUGAAGGGUCCGGGACUGGCUGAUCCGAGCGCUCUGACGUGCCGACACGAUGGGGGAAGUGCCCUCCCGAGGCCGAGAGCGGGGCACAGGAGGGUACUCGGGCGCCCAACCAGGGUUGACGACCACCGGAGGGCGCGAAUCCGGGGACCCCAAGGUUGGGGAAGGGGGGAACUCGGAGAGCACGAGUAGCAAACCACCCCUGGCGAGCGCGGGGACGAAGCAGGGCAGACCUCCAUACCCACACUCACCUCCUCCUCAGCAGCGACCACCGGGAUAGGGGAAGCAGGGAGAGUGAUCUCCAUGCCUACCACCACCACCGGCGCCAAAGUACCCACCGUGGAGCCUCCUGCGAGCCCCGACUGGCCAACACCCGAGGGGGCGGGGGUGCGCCGACCGCCAGAUGGCUCGGGCGGAGCCCCGACCGUAUCAUCGUCCCCCUCAGAAGAAGGCCCCUCCUCCGACGAGCCCCCCUCCUUGUCAAGACCCCCGUCGGCAGGCUCCAGCCCAGGCGGGACCGGAUCUAGCUGAGCCGCUGAAGCCGGGGACUCGAGCUCGAAGGUCAGACGCCUGCCCUUGGACCCAAAGUAGAAGACCAAAGACAACCCGUCAAUCUCAGCAGGAGCCGGGCAGAGAAUCUCAAUGCGGGCAGGGCCAUCAUCCUCGAAAGAUGCCAGGUCGGCGGUGAUCAGUUUGCCCAUGGGUUUAGAGAUGGCUUUCAGAAUAUGACUGAGCUUGCCACCCCGCGGAGCCGCACUGCCCCCCCUUGGGAGGCCAUAGACGAGGACCCAAACCUUCUCCAAGGGAGGGACGGGGUCAGGCUCUGACAUGGCCGCCUGGACGCUGAUCGGGAGCUGGUUGAGGGGACACCGGAUAGGACCAUGCGAGCAGACCCGGAGUAGCUCGGCCGAGGGGAAGGGGACCGAGAAGACCAGGGGAGCCGUCUCAGUCACCUCCCAUGCGAACUCAGAGCCGCGAAAGUCGCCAAUGUAGGCCGCAAGCUCAUCCUGGAUGAGGUCAGACGAGAUCACCAGGCCAUCCGGGAUAGGCUGCUCGGGCUCCAAGGUGACCGUCGCUAGGUGAGGACGAGCAGCUACCUCCUCAAUCUCCGCAUCCACGAAGUAGAAGCUUCCCCGCUCAGUGCCAUACCCAAGAUAGGCAAGAAUCGUGGGGCACCGUGGGGGAGCCUCACACUCCGAGCGGUAGUGCCCGGUGCACCCGCAGUUGAUGCACAUCGUGUCCUCGCGGGAGCGCUGGCGGGUAGCACGAGCAGGGGGUCUAGAGCCUCAUGCUCAGGAGCCCCCUGAGCUCCUGGCGACGUCAGGCCGCCAGCACCGCCAACAGCCUUCUUCUUCUUCGACUUCAUCUUCUUCUUAACCGGGGUCGGGCGGGAAGCGGAGCAGCAGGCAGGGCAUCUGGGGACACGUGCCUAGAAGGCCCGUCGUCCCGGCACCAGUCCGCACCCGUCGCCCGAGAGGAGCGCCAGUCAGCCCGACGUCCAUCAUCACCGCGCCGCAUUGGCGGCCCGCCCCACCGCUCCCCCGGGCGGUGGUCCUGGCGAUCACGGGGCGGCCCGCCCCACCGCUCCCCAGGAAGGCGCCGCGGGGCGGUGAGCGAGGUCCCGAGCCGGGGGGUAGCGGGGCGCUGGCUCCUCACACGGCUGAGAUGCCGGAGUGGGGCGAGCAACCAACUCUGCACACAGAGUCGCUUCCCGGUCCAGGUCGGCCGCGCGGGCGGCCUCCAGGCGGCGACGGUCCCCCGGCGAACCCGGCAACGGCAGGCGGGGAUCCCUCUCCGGAUCACGAGGGGGAGGCGGACGGCGAAGGGAGGUCCCGGAGUAGUACUCCGGGGACUUCCCCGGCCGGGCAGACCCACCGCGCCCGGAACGGGACGAGGCAGCACCCCCUUCCAUGGCACGGUCACGGGCGGCGGGCAGCGCCUUCAACACCGCGCGAGCCUGGUCACGAGAGGUUGGCGUAGGGAGGAGCCCCUGCCCAGCCGGGAGAGGCCGCUUCGGUCGGGCCUGGCCGUUCCCGGCGUGGCGUGUCAUGAGCACGUCCCGGUAGGAGCGCCGUGGGGAGGGGAUGGGGAGCAGGUCCGGGCGCCGGGCAGCAGACGAGGGCGCGUCGCCGGCAGUGCAGGCGAGGACGGACGAGGUGGAGGGAGCUCUAUGGCUGACGGGACGGGGCGAGCGGGGCCUGGGGAACGGCCGGCGGGACGGGGCGAGCAGGGCCUGGGGAACGGCGGGGACGUCCGCGCCCGACGGGAGAGAGCGAGAGGAAAGGGAGCGGGAGCCCGACCGGAGAGAGCGAGAGAAACGGGAGCGGGACGGGGCGAGGCUGCGAGGUGGCGGUGGCGCACGCUCGGCAGGGUAAACCCUAUCCCCGAGCCGGUCCUCCCGACGCAGGCCUGGGCCGGGACGCGAGCAUGGGGGAGGCCCAGGUGGGCAUCGGCCCACUGCCGGUUAACCUUCUCCAGGACUCGGGAGACGCGGCGGGAGGCCCAGGCCAUCUCGCUAGCUGAGAUGGGCCCAGGCCCCGUUCGCAGCGGCCCAUGGGGAGAGCCGGCCCAUCCGUCCGCCAGCCGGCCAGGGGAGUUAGGGCAUGGGGGAGGGGACUGACGAGGCACUCGGGCACCUCCCGCUGCCGCCGGCACCGCCGCCGCCGCCACAGGAGGCAGGGCACCAGCGCCUGGUCGGGGCUCGCGGGGGCCCUCUCCGGCGACCGCCAUGGGGGACAACCCAGGCAGCAAACCGGCUCGGGCCAAGGAGGGGAGAGGGGGAACCACAGGGGGACAGUGCACCGGCGACCGCCGCCCGACCUCCUUCCCCGGCCGCCGGCGGGCAGGGCGCGCCGCAGCCAGGAACGAGCCGAGCAGCGGCGGUGCCAGGGACACCGGCAGCUCCAACCGGUCAUCACCAUCCGAAGAGGCCUCCAUGUCAUCGGGGUCGGGAUCGUCCGUCCAGUCCGCCCAACGUCGCGGCGACCGUUGGAAGCAGAGGGAGGGCGCCCCCGGCGGGGGAAGCGGGGGCAUCGCGCUCACGCAGCACGCCGGCCGACCGCCGUCAGCGGGCACCGCGCAGCUUCAGGUCUCGGCCCGCCGGAGAGGAGCCGCCCAUCGCUUCUUCUCUUCAGGAAUCUAGUCGCCGGCCCACAAGUGGGGUGAUGAACAAGCUAAUGCGAUUUAAAGUAAUCAUACCUCGUCCUAAGAAAUUAAAAGUGAAUUCAUACUGUGCAGCUAGAAAAAGAAUCAUAAAAGUAUACAAGCGCAUGUGAAAAGAAAAAGAUGAACAACUUGCCACUUCAUAUAGGUGAUCUAAUUAACUAAUUUAGGGUUCGAAUAACUUUGUUUCCCCACAAUCAUGACAAAGUGAACCUUUUGUUGAAAGCCGGAAUUCUGCAAUAAAGCUGCAAUGGUAGAUCUAUUUUUAUCAGGGAAUCUACCAUGCUGAGCUGCUGCACACAAGGCGUUCUCACUCACGAGUCGCAAAAAAGAGUUGGUGAGUUAUUAAAAAAGAAGACAAAGAGGACGAGUGAGUUGCACCAAAAUUAAAUACUUCCUUCAUUUCAAAAUAAAUGUCUCAAUUUUAUACUACCUCUAGUAUAAGAGCAUGGUUAAUAGUAUAGUCAACUGCUGGCUAUAAGCUAUCUUAUAGCCUAUCUUAUAGCUAGCUUGUACAAUAGUUAGCUAUAAAAGAGUACUACUUUUAUUCUAUAUGGCCCACCUUUCAUUUUCACAAAGCACCUACGAGCACGUGCUAGAGCUGGCUCUUUACGAAGAGCCCGCUUCCCUUCUCACUCCUAUUCUCUCUCAUCCAACUCAGCAAAAAUACAGUAUUUUAAUCCUUACAGCCUGCUGACUGUACCUUAUUGUACUUGCUCUAAAGUUGUACUCCCUCCGUUCCAAAAUAUAAGACCUUUUAGAGAUUUAUUAGAAGACUACAUACGAAGCAAAAUGAGUGAAUCUAUACUCUAAAAUAUGUCUAUGUACAUCCGUAUGUAGUUCAUAGUGCAAUCUUUAAAAUGUCUUAUAUUUAGGAACGGAGGGAGUAUUAAGUUUGAGGCGGUUAUAUUGAGACGGAGAGAGUACUAGAUAUACGUAAUCUGAAAUAGUGGAGUACCAAAAUUAUAGGCCUCUAUGAUUAGGAGGAUUUUCAUAAAACAUUUGGAAAGUUGUGAUACUUGAGAAUUUUUCCUUUAUCGCUUAUCUGAUUCGUAGAUUGACUCCUAUAGGAUUUUCUCCUAUGGAUUCCCUUUGACUGCACAUUUCAUGAAAAAAAACAUUAGUUUGCCAUGAUAAUUUUUCACCAGGAUGCACAAAAAAUGAACUAGUUCUGAAAGGUUUAUUGGCUUCAUUUGGAUUUACUUAGAAUCAGCUCAUAUUAGCAAUAAUUAAAGAUGGCCGAACGAUGGCGCCGUCUCCCUCCCGACCCGGGGCCGCAUGCAGCCCCUCUCCCUCUGCCCCCCUCCUCCUGUCGGUGCCCUCGGAUCUGGUCCGGGUGGUGUUGGCGGUGGCGGGAUCUCCAUUACCUGUGCGCGGACGUCCUUCCCGAGGCAGGGGAUCGACGGUGGUGCGGCUCGGCCUGCUGUGGUCCGACGACCUAGAGGUGGUGGCCGGCAGCCGACGUGGUGGUGGCGCUGCUCCUUGGCGGCGGGGUGGCCUAGCGGCACGGGGUGGCCGGCUGCACGACCCCGGGCCAGAUCAGGGCCCAUAAGGCCUCAUCUAGGUCCUAGGGGACUGGCUCUGGCAUGGACUUGCUGCCUCCUGUACAGGGAUGAGGAGGGGCGGGUUGAAAGGGGGGCCGCGAUGCCGACGGUGUGCUUUCUGCAGCGCGAUGGCAGGAGCUUUAUGGGUAUUUGUGGGGCCAUGAGCCUGGUUUGCUCCUGCCGAUGUGUCCGGUCGGUUACUGUCGUUGACGAUGGAAGUCGGACCCUCCCGCAGGCCGCCGGUGUUGCUUCCCCUAGUCCCGACUCUUCUUCUUCGAUGUGCAGGCCUCACUUCUCGGUGUCCUGGUGAGACAGUGUGGGUCGCUUCAAGAUUGUGCUUGCGCAGGGCGGUGGGUGGUAUGGUGGAGUCCUCCGGAACGCCCGUGGUGAUGCGUGGGGAUCGGGACGUACAAAUCCUUGUCGGCCUGUUCGACACCGACACGGUGACGCCUGAGGGUGUCGACGGACCUUCCUGGAGGGUGUCGGGUGCUACCCUUUCUUUGUCCUCGUUGUGUAUCGGGGGAAACCCUUGGCAGCAGCGCAGUCAUCGUCGUGUCCCUUCUUGGAGGUGUUGAUUGGUAUCGGCGCUUCGAAGGCUAGGAUCUUGGUGGAAGAUCUUCGAUGGGCGCAACGAUCGCGGGGCCUCUUCAUUUUUGUCGAUCCAUCAUUGUUGGCAUCUAUUCCUUUUGCAUUUUCUUUUUCCCUUCCUUUUGGACGUGAUUGUGAUGUCUCCGUCCCAGCACUUAUUGAUGGAUAUAUCGGGCAUUUGCUAUAUUAAUAUAGCGAGGCGAACGCGUGCUUCGAAGAAAGAUGGACGAACUUACCAACCAUAUUACUUGUGCUUAUUUAUUUUCUUCUGUUACAACGCACAAACAUAUUUGCUAUUUGAACUAAAUCACAUUGCCAAUUGCUCGUCUAUCAUGUCAAAUCAGAACCACGCAUCUAACCCUCCCAAGAUGUAGAUCGAUCGGUUUUACUCGGCAUUCAUUAUGGAUCGGAGGGAGUACUCCUAGAUCAUAUUCAAAAUUGCUCCACGCCACAAAUAAAACUGCACGGUACAUAUGGUAAAUCUGGGAAAGUGAUUUGCGUGGUAUGUGUGCCAUAAUCAACUGAAUUAUUGGACUAACCGCAUCAAGAUCGGAUCACAUCGAUCCUAUCCCCGUCGACGAGACUGUCCUCGAAUCAAAAUAUUUCUCCAAUGGACGCUCGUGUCCCACGCUCUGAAAGCGACGCCUUUUGUUUUGUCAGUUAAUUUUCACGUCAAGCUCACACCCACGCACGCACCGUGUAGGAUCCACGGCUCGACGCACCUCCCCUUCCCUCCCCUUCUCCCUAUUUAACGAGCUAGCCACCCCCACGCUUUUUGCACCUCAGCAAGCACCAACACACACACACACACAAGAAAUGGCGAUGGCUAGGACGACGACGCUCCUCCUCGUCGCCGCAGCUCUCCUCGCGGCCUCAUGCAGCGCAUGGGAGGUCAACAUCCGCAUGCCGACGUCGGCGGCGGACGUGGACGAGGCGGUGGUGGCGCCGCUGAUCCACGCGCUGCGGCCGCUGCUGGGCUCCGGCAAGCACGCCGGAGUGGCGUGCGACAGCUGGGUGCUGGGGGUGGAGGCGCACAACGUGCGGGACUGGAAGACGGUGCCCGCGAGCUGCGAGGGCUACGUCGGGCACUACAUGCUCGGCAGCCAUUUCCGCCGCGACUCCAAGGUCGUCAUCGACCAGGCCCUCGCCUACGUCGACUCCCUCAAGCUCGCCGGCAACGGCAAGGAGGUCUGGGUCUUCGACAUCGACGAGACCACCCUCUCCAACCUCCCCUACUACGCCAAGCACGGCUUCGGGUACGUACUUACACUCUUGUAUACAUUACAUAGACACUACUGAUUCUACGUGUAGUGCAUGCAUUAGACUUGCUAUUUACUGCAGGUACAUCCGACCGAGCAGGGACUUGCACUCAUCUUUUCACUAAGAUGAAGUGUAAAUAAUCUGACUAGAUAUAUAUUGUAAAAAAUCAACUCACUAGCUAGCUAAAAAAUACCAGCGAGAUCUGUAAUGAAUGAAAAUUGGAAAGCACAUAAGGAUAGAAAUAUUGGAAAUAAAAAGGAAUAUAAUCACUAAGUAGAAAAGUACUUUAAUCACAAGUGUUGGACACUUGGACAUCAUCAUUGCCAGUAGGACUCGGGCCAUAUGUCCCUAGUAUGAAUGGCCAACAAAACAAGAAGGAAACAUACUAUAUUUUGAGAUAGAGAUGUGAUGUUGAUGGGCAUGCGAAUGUGGUGGCCGGGUAGGACCGUAUAUGUUGUCCACUUGGCUACUUUAUGGAAAUGUUCUAAUUAUGUUAUGCUAGUCAACUCAUACUUUCUAAUUAUGUCAUACUUUUGUACACAUACACACUAUUGUAGUGCAUUAUACUCCCUCUCUAUCUAAAUACUUAGAGUUCGAAAGAACUAGGUGCAUUUCAGCAGGGGCUUGCACUGAUCUAUUCGUUCAGAUAAAAUAAAUAUCUUACUAGACCUCGUUCAAAUGAACUCACUAGCUAGAAAGCACUAGUAUCAUAAGAUUUCUAAUGAAUGAAAGUGGGAAAACAAAUGAGACUAGAAGUGGAAACAAGGAAUAUACUCACUAGCUAGAAAAGUAUUAAUUGGACGUGUUGGACACACUUAGGCAGCAUCAUUGCUGGUUACCUCAAAUCAGUCACAGAGACGGCCAUCAGGACCAUAAAUAUGUCCCGCCUAUGAAUGGUCAACAAAACAAGAAGGAAACAUAGUACUAUAGUUUGAGAAUAUGGUGGCCGGGGUAGGACCGUAUAUGUUCUCCACUUGGCUACUUUAUGGAAACGUUUAUUUCCAGCUGUCCUUAUCAGCCGAUACGUUCUAAUUAUGUUAUGCUAAUCGAUUGAUAUUUUCUGAUUAUGUUAUGCUAAACUUAGUUCAGAUGGAUAGUACUCCGAUACGUUUUCAUUAUUUUAUGCUAAUCUGAGUUUAGAUGGAUAUAAUUACUUAUUUUAGAAGAUGUGAGAGGUCAGAACAUCUUGUGCAUAGUUAGUAGUUACAUGCUACUCCCUCCGUUCCUAAAUACAAAUCUUUUAAAAGAUUUCACUAGUGGUCUACAUAUGAAGCAAAAUGAAUGAAUUUAUACUAUAAAAUAUGUUUAUAUACAUUCAUAUGUAUUACUCUAACCUCUAAAAAGAUUUAUAUUUAAGAAUGGAUGGAGUACAACUCUAUUCCUCUUUUCUCAAAUAGUUGAACACUAUUCCUCUUAGUUAAGAAGAUUCUCUUGAACCAAGAUGGAAACUAACUUGAAAUGUAGUAGAAGUCUAGGUGAUAUCUAGCCAACAUGAUGAUACCAGUUUAGUUCAAAACAUGAUUAACUAGCUCCGGAUAGCUUGCUUGUGUAUAUUUUGAAUGUGAUGAGGGAGCUAGUUCGUUGUGAUUUAAAAUAAACUGUACCUUGCCGUAAGAACUUUAAAGUGGAUCUACACUGGGCGGCUGGAAAAAGAUACAUAAAAGUAUAUAUAUGCGCAUCAAGGAAAAAAGAAAGAUCAAAAGCUUAUAACAGCAUGUCUAACUAAUCGAGCGGUUCAAAUAACUUUGUUUCAUCACAAUCAUGACAAAAUUAACCUUUUUUGUUGAAAGUCGGAACUCUGCAAUAAGGUUGCAAUGGUAGACCUAUUUUACCAAAGGAAUCAACAAAGCUGAGCUGCUGCGUACAAAGCUGUGCACGAUGAGAUUAAAUACUACAACUGCGUUUUCGGUCCAACAAAACAGUAGCGUGAUGAUGCCGGAGUGAACCUCGCUAUGUCACAUUCAUUGAUUUACUCCACUUGACCAACUUAAUUUACGACGUCCACAACUACGUACUGCUCAUGCACGUGCGUUACGUACAGAUACAGAGCAUCAUUGCGUUUACGUAUUGCCCAUCCCCUUGGCCAUUUGGCCACUUGGGCCAUAAUCUAGGUUGCCUAUGUUCCUUGGAUAUGCAUAAUUACUACUACUUCUUAGUAGCUGAUAUGAUUGAAUCUGCCAUUAAUCUAUCCUCGUAUACAUGUGCGUGCAGGGCUACACCGUUCAACGCGACCAGCUUCAACGCAUACGUGCUACAGGGGAGCGCGCCAGCCCUGCCGGAGACGAAGCGGCUGUACAACAAGCUGCGCUCGAUCGGCGUCAAGCCGGUGUUCCUCACCGGCCGGACUGAGGACCAGAGGGCCAUCACCGUCACCAACCUCCGCCGCCAGGGGAUCUCUGGGUGGAUGAACCUCUUGCUGAAGCAACCCGGGUUCAAGGGCUCUGCGGUGACCUACAAGUCCGGCGAGAGGCAGAAGCUGCAGGACGCCGGGUAUGUCAUCGUCGGUAACAUCGGCGACCAGUGGAGCGACAUCCUCGGCGCGCCAGAGGGUGCCCGCACCUUCAAGCUGCCCGACCCCAUGUACUACAUCGGCUAGGCCGCCUCUGGCUCGGCCGGGCAUGCUGCCAUUGAUUUCUCGAAUAAGCUCCAUGCUCUUAGUUAUAUGCAUGUUUCGUCAGAUAAUCAAUCCCCAAUUGUUGCUUGGUUCAUUUCCAUUGUUGAGAGCUUGAGAUCAAUUGCUACUAUGAAUUAGACGUGUAAGUGGAGAUGUUGCAUGCUGCUUAAUCAAUGGAUCUUUGUUAUGUUGUUUUUCUUUUUGCUCUAUUACAAGGAAUCCAUGGGCAUUAUUACUAUUUGAUAUCUUGUUCUUAAGUCUUAACUUGGAACUUAUAUUGCUGGUGGUAGAUUUUUCUGUACUAAAUUCUGCAUAUGGUGUAUUAAAUAUCAGGGACACAUAAUAUUGUCACACAUAUGGAAUCACUACUGCUAAAAUGACCAGUUCCUGAACCCAUCUGCUAUUGGGCCCAUUUUGGCCCGUCGGAGGAAGGGAUCAUCGUCGGUGGACAGGCAAAGAAGUGCUCGCAUAGACUCCUUCAAAAAAUGUGCCCUCAUAGACGACGGGUAUUUUCCACUGAUGUUGCGCAACUGGUGAUUGCAAUGUAGUUUGUGUCUUGCAUGUUGUAUGCAUAUGUAAUGAAUGUAACAUCUAAUAGUUAAUUAUGCAAGACAAAUAAAGCCCACCCUUUUCAGUAAGUUUAGAGCUAGAUUUGAGUUUGUCUUGGUCUCAUUUUUCUAAACAUACAAUCCUGGAGACAACUCGGUGAAGAAAUGAUGGUCCAAAUAGGUGUCUAACACGAAUCGUCAUCAAAGAAACCCUAUGGGAACCCACACUAUUCUAGUUACUUGGAUGAUUUGUAAUGAAAGAAAUAUAUGUGUCUUCCAAGUUAUUUUGACCAUGCCAAACAACAUCCCUGCUAAGAUAAAAAACGAUGUGGAGACUUGGAUAAAGGCCGGGCGAAGGAUCUGGGAAACAUUAUGCCAGGAGAGUAGUUCCGUUCUAUUAAUUUAUCCUUGGAUGACGUUUCGCGGAGAGAGGGGAGAGGGCGACCUGGGCGAUCUGGGAGCGUCGGGGGCCGCCGUGGGCAUCGUCGGAGAGGGGGAACAUCGGUACUCCUCCUCCGAUCUCGCAUCCCAGGCGCGGCGCCGGAGCCCGAUCUCGGCGGUGGAGGGACCUACUGUCCGUGUCCGAUGGAGAGUUGCGUACUCAGAGGCUGGUUAUUCGGAUCUGCGUGAGGGGCAGAUUGUUUUUCAUUCGGUUUCUCGUUGGAUGACACUACGGGAUGACGACGACGACAUCCUCGCCGGCUGCCAUCUCCAAGAGGAAGAUCUCAUCUGCGAAGGUGCGCAUUUCAUGGUGGAUAUCUUUUCUGUUACUUGUAUUUCUCCUUUCCUGCAGGUGAAUUCACAAGAACGGAUGCAGCCUGAUUUGGUGGACAUAUCUGACGAUGAUAAGAUCGCCUCACCAAGACUUCUCCCUCGAGUUGGGGGGAGGUUUUGGGUACUGGCUAAAGAUGAAGACGACGAGAACCACGACAUUGCCGUAGCACAGGAGGUCUCUGCUCCUUUCUGCGACCAGGUUUUCCAUCCGGCCACGAGGGAUUUUAUUCAUGCAUUGCCUGAUUCGAAGGUCGUUAAGGUAGUUCAACGCAAGGAGCGAUUGGCGAUUAAACCUUGGAGCGGUCCUCUGCCUAAGGUUCAUCUCGAACCAUUGCGGAUCUCGGACAUCAUACCUUGAGAGGCUUGGACUACUGUUUUGCCUAAGAGGAAGAACAAGGGUAAGAGCCGUAAAUUGCAGACGUCAGUCCCUGACAAGGUGCUGUCGUCCCGUGAUUCUCGCGAAUUACGUUUGAACGAGCCGAUGGCUGUUGUCGGGCCGUUGGGACCGGCGCUCGAGUUGGGCUUAAAAGAAACUGGGUAUAUGGCCCAGAUAGACUCCAAUCUAGCAAAACCUGCAAGUCCUACACCUACGGCUGCCCAGAUUUGCCUUGACGAGAAUCAUCAGGACUUGGUUUCUACGUCAAGUUUGCAUAUACCGAGUUCGGCUCUGCCUAGGGUUCCACGACGGCGUUUGCCUGGCUUCCCUUCGCUCGGGCCGGGUCGUGCAGUACGGGUUCCAGCGCUGCGGUGCAUGGCGGGGCGGGGAAACAAGCAGGCGCUGCCUCCCCCUCGACCACCGGCGGUUUCCCAGGCUGUGGGGCGGACUAGGCAGCAGCCCGUGAUGCCGCCAGGGCGCCAGACGGGCCAGGCUUCGGCUGCACCGGUUCCCGCUGCUGGUCAGGGUUUGCCCAACGCGGCUCGGGCGGAUACUAACAGGAUGCAGCCGAGAGGUCGAUGGGGGGAUGAUGGUGUUAAUGCAUAUGGUGAUGGACAGCACCGUGGAUCCUCUUCGUCUGGAGGAGGACGUGGCUAUGCCUGGCAGAGCAAUGGCAGCGCUGCUAAUGGGUUCGCCGGUCCUCCGGGACAGUUUGUGCCCCGGGUCUCGGGUCCUACUCACCCUAGGGAGGUGGAUAUAAGCAACAUUGGGGAGGGAGAGGUGGUGGCAGGAGAUUGAAGCCGCCCACGCCUCCAGUAGAGGUAGAUGCUGCCAAGACAACGGCGGGAGUACCUUCCAAUGCUCCUAAGGGGAAUACACUGCUGCCACCUGUUUCCGAGGAGGAUCCUUCCUUGGCUGACAAGGGAGUAUCGCUUGCGAAGGCAGAGGGGGGGGGAUAGGCCCUCCAAGUGGGCACGCAAAAAAGAAAAGAUGACAUGCUACCGUUGCAGUGAGACGGGUCAUUUUGUUUCCGAAUGCAGCGCGGAUCUGUGUGACUUUUGCUUAAAGCCUAAGCAUGGCUCAGCUAAGUGCCCCCUUACUGUUGGUCCUAUACAUGUCGUCACUUUAUAUGGGGUUUGCUGCCAAGAGUUGAUGUUCUUUGAAUCUCCCUCUGCUUCAACGUCGUUGCAUGUGCCAGACGCGGCCUAUACGGGGACGGUUACGGUGGCUCGUGGUAAUAUGUCAGCUGAGCAGGUGGUGCAACAGUUGAGGGAUCUUGUUUCAUCAAUGUUUCGGUGGGAACUGGUCCUUAUAGCAGAUAAUGUGUUCAAGGUUGUGUUCCCUACCAAGGAGGACCUAGCUAGACUGCUCAAGUUUGGUAUGUGUCGGGUUCCUAGUACUAGUUGUGUGCUAGAGUUCGAUGCUUGGAAGAAUGAGGAGCCAUAAGGUGUGCCACUUCCUCAGAUUUGGGUUCGUUUUUCAGGGGCCCCGUCAAAGGCUCUAAAUGACUUUCUGGUGACUUGGAGUUUGGGAUCUUUGAUAGGUAAGACUGAGAGGGUGGAUAUGCAAUAUACUCGGGCUAAAGGUGUUGCCAGGAUGAGGGUUAGUGUAAUUGAUAUUGCGCUAGUACCGGAUGAAGUUAUAUGGACUUAUGAUGGAAUGCGGUACACCUUGCAACUCGAGAUCGAGAGUCCGGAUAUGUUCGAGGAGGAUGGGACAGACAAAGAUACCGAUAUGGCUGACGGAGAUGAUGCUUCGGGUUCUAGGGAAUCUGAUAAGAAGGAUCAACAGCCAGUUAUUACAAAGAUGGUGGAUCAACCUACCUCAGGUUCUGCUACAGGGGCUGCUCAACCAGUGUCUCUUCCCUCGACGCAGCUUAGGUUCGGUUCCUUUGAACCAGCCUCGGCGCCAGAGAUUCGAGGGAGGGCUUCAGAGAAGUAUGAGCGGGAUCUGGUUCAUCUUAAGCCGCAAGGAAAGCAAGCAAAGUCAGGGUCAUUCAGUAUUAAAAAUCCUAAGGAAGCUUUGACCGUAGUUUCUCUUGGGGAAUAUUUUGUUGUCGCUAGGAAUGCUGAUACGGGCCGGUCUCAGCAACGUGAUGCAGUGCAGCCAGCAAGGCAUAUGUUGUCCGGGUUGGGUACUGUGCCGAGGGGUGCGCCGCCUGGGUCGCCUAGGCAGGGUUCGCUGCUGCUGUAGAGUCCAUCGCCAGCCACCCAGGGGGUUGCUGUUUCUCGGCCAGCCACCCCUGGGGCUGCUACCUUUUUGCCAGCCACACCGAGGGCAAUUACAGCGACUCCUCCUCCUGGCCUACUUCCGUCGUUGGAUGCUGCUGCGAGAUCCACCCCUGCUGCUGGUUUCAUGUCAGCCGAGAGAUCAACCCCUGUUGCUGCGGUUCCUAUCGCUACUAUGGCUGCAACCGGGGCAUCAUCUUUGCGGGUGUCAGGGCUGGAGGGUACUGGUCAGGGGCACCAUGGCGAGGUCGUUGCACCGCCGUCUGUUGAGCAGGUCAUAGCAUACGGAGGUAUUCAAAGUCCGCUGACUUCGGACAGGAGGUCCAGUCGGCGAAUUCAGAAUCAACCUGAUGCGGAUUAUUUACAGAUGGGACGUGCUAUGCGUGCGGCUAAAAUGAGAGAUGUCGAAACUGAGACAGGUAUGUCUUUCAGCAUUAACGAUUCUAUUCUUCAUUUUUCUCCUCAAGAUAUUCUAGAUAAGGCAGGUUCUAUUGGGGUUACAUUGGGGAACAAUGGCCGAGAAAUUUCGAAAUCUAUUAAUGAUCUAUUAGACUUAGAGGUCGAUAGAGCGUUAGACUUAGUACGAAAUUUAGCGGCAGUUAAACCAAUGCAAGAGUCUGAAGUUAACGAUCUAGGGGGACUGAAUUCUCUUUGUGAUAGUCUGGCCCCGUCAGUGGAUAUAGAGGAUGGUGCGGGCGAGGUUUUAGUUGGUCAAGGGAUGUGUGCCCAAUCUCAUAAGGCUGAGCCUCAAUUCUCUGGUUAUAUGGACCAGGAGUUGCUGGAAAAGCCGAAGCGUCCAUGGAGACGGAAAGUGUAUCCGGUCUCUGCGAUACGUAGAAGUGCUAGAUUUAAGAUUGCCAAAAAAAAUUAUGAUGAUUAAUGAGAGGAAUUUUUUGGAAUAGCAGAGGUCUUUGAGACUUGGCUAAAAGAAGAUUUCUAGCAGAGGCUACUUUAGAGCAUCACCUUGAUUUUAUCGCAGUGAUGGAGACAGGGAGGGAUAACUUUACGUCUCAUUUUUUAAGUUCUCUAUCAGCUGGGGUGGAUUUUGACUGGCACUGUCUCCCUCCAAGAGGAAGGUCCGGUGGGAUCUUACUUGGGGUCCGUUGUGACACUUUUCAAGUGCGGGAGGUGGUGUUUGGGGAGUUUGCAGUCAAAUUCAAGAUUAGAUCUAAGGAUGACGGGUUCCAAUGGGCUCUCGUUGCCGUCUAUGGCGUAGCACAGCCAGAUCUAAAGCCUGAUUUCCUAGCAGAUCUGGUCAGGAUUUGUGAUGACAAACUACCAUUGCUGGUAGGUGGAGAUUUUAAUAUUAUUAGGCGGGCUGAUGAAAAAAGUAGUGUUAAUUUUGAUGGAAGAUGGCCUUUCAUGUUUAACACAAUUAUUGAGAGCUUAGAUAUGAGGGAGACCGCUCUAUCAGGUAGGAAAUAUACCUGGGUGAAUGCUCUACAGAAUCAGACAUUUGAAAAGUUGGAUCGUGUCUUAACUAGUGUAGAGUGGGAGCAGAAGUUCCCUCUAGUAACUGUUAGAGAACUUCAACGCGCAAUCUCGGAUCAUACUCCUCUGUUGCUGGAUUCCGGUGAGGCUAGCCAUAUAGGAAACAAACAUGGAUUCUCUUUUGAAUCAAGUUGGUUCACAAGGGAGGGGUUCAUGGAUAUGGUCGAGAGGGAAUGGAAUACAGAGGUCAGGGGCGAAACCUCUAUAGAAAGAUGGCAGUAUAAGAUUAGACAUCUUAGACAGUAUUUGAGGGGCUGGUCUAAGAAUGUGUGUGGAAUAUAUAAAGAAGAGCAAGAUAAGCUCCUCAAACUUAUAGACAAUCUAGAUCGGAAGGCUGAGAGUUGUCUUCUGGAUGCUAACGAAAGGGAUCUCAAAUUCGAGGCCGGACAGCGCUUGCGUAUUCUCCUAAGAGAGGAGGAAAUGAAAUGGGCGCUUGAGCCAAAGUGAAGGCCAUAGUUCUUGGAGACAAUAACACUAAAUUUUUCCACUUGAUUGCAAAUGGCAAGCAUAGGAAAAAGAAAAUAGUGCAGCUUGAGCAAGAUGAGGGUACAAUACUAGGUCAUGAGAAUCUAAAAUUGUACAUCUCUAACUACUACAAACAUUUAUUUGGUGCUCCUGAGCAUAGCUUUGUGACUAUGGAUGAGCAAAAAGUGGCGGAUAUUCCUCAAGUUGGAGAGGCUGACAAUGAGAUUUUAUCCGCUCCUUUCUCAGAGAAAGAGGUGUUUGACGCGAUAGGGAAUAUGAAGAAUGGAAAAGCUCCCGGUCCAGAUGGGUUUCCGGCGGAGUUUUACAAGCACUGUUGGCAUAUUAUUAAGAAUGAUCUUAUGUCAAUGUUUGCUGAUCUUUUUAGUGGUCACCUUCAACUCUUCCAUUUGAAUUUUGGUACUAUUACACUCUUACCAAAGAAGGAAGGGGCCACGCGGAUUGAACAGUUUCGUCCGAUCUGUUUGUUGAAUGUUAGCUUCAAGAUUUUCACAAAGGUGGGAACAGAUAGGUUGACUAAGAUGGCCCAUUCGGUGGUACAAUCUACGCAAACAGCUUUUAUGCCAGGACGGAAUAUCCUUGAAGGAGUCGUUGUCUUGCAUGAAACUCUUCAUGAAAUGCACUCGAAGAAACUAGAUGGGGUUAUCUUUAAAGUGGAUUUCGAAAAAGCUUACGAUAAAGUCAAAUGGUCGUUUCUCCAGCAAACCCUACGUAUGAAGGGUUUCGAUGAGCUGUGGCGUAGGCACGUCGAUUGUUUUAUAAAGAAGGGAAGUGUGGGUGUCAAAGUGAAUGAUGAUGUGGGUCAUUUUUUCCAGACACUAAAGGGUCUCCGCCAAGGAGAUCCAAUGUCUCCCAUUUUAUUUAACAUUGUUGCUGAUAUGUUGGCACUGCUGAUUAAGCGGGCCAAUGAGAAGGACCUUGUAAGGGGCUUGAUCCCUCAUCUUGUUGAGGGGGGGAGUCUCCAUUUUACAAUAUGUGGAUGACACGAUUCUUUUUUUGGAGCAUGAUCUCAGUAAAGCCAGGAACCUCAAACUUAUCCUAUGCUUAUUUGAACAGCUAUUAGGGCUGAAGAUAAAUUUUCAUAAAAGUGAAUUGUUUUGCUUUGGAAAGGCCAAGGAUGAGCAGCUCACGUAUAAUCAAUUGUUUGGUUGUGCUAGCGGGAGUUUACCUUUUACUUAUUUAGGGAUCCCAAUUCAUCACAGAAAAUUAUCAAAUAAGGAUUGGAAAUGUAUCGAGGACCGUUUCGAAAAAAGUUGAGCUGUUGGAAGGGCGAGCUCUUAUCGUAUGGAGGAAGGUUGAUACUGGUUAAUUCAGUAUUAACAAGUAUGCCUAUGUUUCUCCUAUCCUUCUUUGAAGUACCUGUUGGGGUACGGAAAAGGUUGGAUUUCAAUCGAUCACGGUUUUUCUGGCAAAGUGAUGAGAUCAAGACUAAAUACAGACUCUCGAGAUGGGACAUCAUGUGUAGACCUAAGGAUCAAGGAGGUUUAGGGAUUGAAAAUUUAGAGAUUAAAAAUAAAUGUCUACUCAAUAAAUGGCUGUCUAGAUUAUCUAUGGAGACAAAGGGGUUGUGGGUACAAAUUCUGACGAAUAAAUACCUACAAAACAAGACUUUGGCGCAGGUUACAUUGAGACCAACUGAUUCACCGUUCUGGAAGGGGGUCAUGCGGUCUAAGAAUGCUUUUUUUCUCAGGUCUAAGUUUGUUAUUGGCAAUGGCCAAUCUACUAGAUUUUGGGAGGAUACUUGGUUGGGGGAGACGCCUUUAGCCAUGCAGUAUCCGCAACUCUACCAUAUUACACAAAGGCGUCAGGCGACUGUUGCGUCAAUUUUGCGCCAGGUUCCUCUAAAUAUUCAGUUAUGUAGAGCCUUAAUAGGUAACACAUGGUCAAGCUGGCUGCAUCUAGUGAGAAGGUUGUUGGAUAUUACCCUUACUGAGAACCCUGAUAGUGUUCGUUGGAAGUUGACCACUGAUGGAGUUUUCUCGGUAAAAUCUAUGUAUUUAGAUCUCAUAGAUUCUGUGUCCAUCCCGAAGUCCUUACAUAUUUGGAAGGUCAAAGUUCCACUUAGAAUUAAGAUCUUCAUGUGGUUUGUUCGCAAGGGGGUUAUUCUAACUAAGGAUAAUUUGGUCAAACGUAAAUGAAAAGGUAAUACUAGAUGCAGUUUUUGUGAGAACGAUGAAACAAUUAAACACCUCUUUCUGGACUGUCCUAUGGCUAAACUUCUAUGGCGAACACUUCUUAUUACUUUCAACAUUAAGCCACCCAAUAGUUUAAACACGUCAUUUGGGACGUGGUUAAGAGGGGUCGAUGAUAUAACUGCUAGCCUGAUCCGAGUAGGAUCAUGUGCACUUCUGUGGGCUACAUGAAACUGUAGAAAUGACUUGGUAUUUAACAAACAUCAACAUAUUCACUUUUUGCAGGUCAUUUUCAGGGUUAUUGCCUUGAUCCGCACAUGAUCAUUACUCACUCCUGUGGAAGCCAGGGAGCCUAUGGUUACUGGGUGUGUCCGAUGGAAGAUGGUAGCUCAGGUUAUCUUCAACCGUUUUGGAUGACGGCAUAUUAAUAGGAUAGGUGUUUAGUCAUCUAGGCUUAUUUCAAUGCCUCCCGGUUGUGGCGACGACGCCGUGUAUCUUUUUGUUAUUUUCUUCAUUUACUUAUCUGAAGACUCUUUGUACUUUUCGAGGAUUUGGUUUUGAAAUAAUAUAUGGCCGUAUGCAUCCUUCGAUGCCGAGGCCGGGGCUUUGCCUCCUUUUCAAAACAAAAAAAUUUAAUUUAUCCUUUCAUUGUUAACCCCUUUUUUGGACUGCAGUUAUUCUAACUCUCUUUUAAGUAAUGUAAUAAGGCAUAUCUUUUUCCUCCAUUUCGAGACAAAGUUCGGACCUAGCACAACUGUAACAUCCGCUCUACAUCGACUCACUCUAGAGAGACUAGUCUUGGCACCUUUUGCAGAACAUGAUUAGUGUCCUGACAUGGAGUAUUUUAGCAUAUAAUGGUCAACUCUCAAGCACAUAUCACUUCAAAUUGCAUUGCUGAAAAAGAACAUACACUUGCACGUUUUUCGAACUUUCACGCAACAAUAAAGUAACUCAAUGAAAUAUUAUGAUACACUCAAAAACAAUAAUAAGCACUCAACAAAAUAUCAACAGUUUUAUUUUGAUGGACGUAGUAGGACUGUAUCUGUUGUCCACUUGGCUACUUUAUCAACAUAUUUAUUUCAACCACCCUGAUCAACAGACAAUAUCUAAGUAUGUUAUGCUAAUUGAGUUAAAAUGGAUAAUCCUUAUUUUAUAAGAUGCAAGGAGUCGAAACAUAUUGUGAUUAGUUGCAUGCUACUAGCCUACUACAACACUAUUGAUCUUAGUUAAGAAGAUUAUCUUGUGAUUAGACGAAGUCUAGAUCAUCUAGCCAAGUAUGAAAAUAUUUAAAGGAGCGUGUGGAUACCUUUUCUUCUUUAAUAAAGGAAAAAAAAUUGUGUAUAUAUGCGAGUCUGAAAACAAAGAAAAGAAAGAUGGACAGCUUAUCACAGCUUCACAUAUGUCAUCUACUCCCUGCGUUCCUAAAUAUAAGUCUUUUAAAAGAUUUUACUAAAAGACUAUAUAUGAAGCAAAAUGAAUGAAUCUACAUUUUAAAUAUAUCUAUAUACAUUCUUUAGAAAGACUUAUAUUUAGGAACGGAGGGAGUAAUAGCUAAUUGAGGGGUUCAAAUAACUUUGUUUCGCAAUAAUGAUUGAAAAUCAACCUUUUGUUGAAAUCCGAAACUCUACGUACGGUAGACCUAUUUUUAUCAAGGGAAUCAACAAAGAUGAUCUGCUACAUAAAAAUGCGCGUAUGGUCACUCACGAGCCACAAGGACGAUGCUUGAGUAGUGAUGAGUGAGGUGCACGAUGAGAUUAAAUAUUCCAACUAGUGUAACCGAAAAGUAUAGUAAGUUAGACAUCGUUCUUGGUCCACGAAAAUAGUGGCGUGAUCGAUGACAUCUUGAUGCCGGCCGGAGACUAGGAUCUGGCUGUUUGAUAGGGUACCAAUUAAUUUAUACCCUCCACUUGGCCAACUUACUUCAUCACCAGUCGAUAACUGUAUACGCAUUGUUCCAUAUUCAUGCAUGCACGUGCUUACAGCCCAAGAGCAUUGGGUUUAGCUGGUGCUGUCUGAUCCGCUUGAACUCGUAGAAAAAGGGCCUUUGGCCUGGACCCUUUAGUCCCAGCCUGUCUUUCGGUCGGAACUAAAAGCCGGCCACGUCAUCCCAAAUUAUCAGUUUAACCCGCUUGGCCACCAUUUAUAUCAUUAAAAAACCUCAAAUUUGUAGCGGGGUGAGUUUACAUGUUACCUUGGAUCGCCAUUGUUUUUUUGGCCCUGCGUGUAACGACGAUGGCCGGAGUAGGCUCGUGCAGAUUAGUCCUCCUCUUGGUAAUUAAGGAGUAUAUAUCCACUAGCUAGUGUCUGACAUUCAGAACCUCCACUCGAUGGCCAGAGUAUUUGAUAUUUAUACUCUCCUCUUGGUAAUUAAGGAGUGCAUAUCCACUAGCUAGUGAUCUAAACGUUUCUAUAUUAAUUUAUGGAGGAAAUAUUUAAUAAGGUUAUUACCCAACAUUACAGGCGCCAUCCGAUAAACCAUAUCACUUUUUUUUGCGAGGACCUAAACCAUAUUCAAAAUGCAGAAUUACUGGCACGUGGUGUAGUUUACGGAUCGAGCCUCCUCCUUCGUGGGCACCAUAGUAGUCAUGCAAGACAUCGUAGUUAUAUAGUGGUCAAGUGUGAGUUAUGAUUGCUUGUAUAUUUUUUAUGCGAUUUAUGAGUCAAUAAAAGUGCUUUUAUUGAGAAAUGUAUCUAUAUUGAUUAUUGUUGAACCUGCCAUUAAUGUAACUAUUUACACAUGUGCGGGGCCAUGCCGUCCAACACGAGGAGCUUCAAAGCGUAUGUGUGGGAGGGGAGUGCGUCGAUGCUGCAAUGACGAACUGCUCUUGGUCGGCGUCCAGCCGGUGUUCCUCACCGGCCAGACCGAGGACCAUAGGGACAUCAUCGUCACCAACCUCCACCGCCCGAGUUCAAGGGCUCCACGGUAACCUACAAGUCUCAUGAGAGGCAGAAGUUGCCGACGACCUGGUAUGUCAUCGUGGGCACCAUUGAUGACCAAGGGAACGACAUCCUGGGGGUAUCCGGUGGGGGGCACACCUUCAAGUUGCCCGACCACAACGGCUAGGCUACAUAGAGAUCGGCCAUGCCUUGAUUGAUUUCUUGAGUAAGCUCUAUGCUUUCAAUUGUAUGCAUGUUUAGUAAACAAUCCCUCCCUAGUUGUUGCUUUGUUCAUUUUCAUUGUCGAGAACUUGAGAUCAAUAGUUAGUAUUUAUAAGACGUGUUACGCUAAAAGUUGCAUGCAACAUAAUCAAUGGUUUGUUGGUUUUAUUGUUUCUCUCUAUUACGAGAUCCAUGGGCUAUAUUGUUGUUUGAUGUAUUGUAAUUCUUAACUUGGAUCUGUAAUAUUGAUCAUGGUGUACUUUUUAACUAAAGAUUGUUGAUGGUGGAAUUAGUAUGAAAGGUACAUAGUGCUGUCACACAUAGGGUGUCACUACUCCCAUUUUGGCCCAACAGAAGGAAGGGUCAUCAUUUACGGGUCACCAGACUGCGUUAGUAUAGAGGCAACAAGGUAUUUUAACCAUGCCGAACAUCAUUAUUGUGAAGAUUAAAAAUGAGGCGGCAACUUGGGUCAAUUUUUGGGGUGGAGGAUUUGAGAAACACUAUGCCCCGUGAGAAACUCCGCUAUAUUAUUUAAGUCUUUCGUUUUUAGCCUCUCUUUUUUCGGCAGCGGUUCUUCCAACUCUCCUAGUAAAUAGAAAGGGGGAAAGAAAAUCUUUUGCCUCCAUUUUGAAAAAGAAAAGGUUGAGACUAACAUCCCUUUCCAUCGACCCACUCUAGAGAGUGUCUCCAACCUUGUUUUCUUGGCCCUUUUGCAUGACAUGAGUAGUGUCCUAACAUGGACUCCUUGAUGUGUAACGCUCAGCUCUCCUGACCAAAUCGCUUAGAAUUACAUCACACGCAAAAGUUAUAUACUUUUGCAUGUUUUUCGCACGUCAAUGCAACAUUAAAAAUUUCAAUGAAACAUUAUGAUACAUUUUGAAACAAAAAAGAACUCAGCAAAACAUACUGUGGAAAUAGAAAAUUUUUGCCAACAACUAAAAAAACGCAGUCAUCAAUUUAGCCGCAACAAAAAUAAGAUGUUAGAAGUCAGAACAUCUUGUGCAUGAUUAUAUGCUAUAGGACUAUUCAUUAGAGAAACUAGUUGGGUAAAACUUUCUCCUUUUUCCGAAUCUCCUUUUUAAUGUGGGGAAAAAGCUAAUGCAUUGUGGUUUAAAGUAAAUAUUACAUCGGCCUGGGAAAUUUAAAAUGAAUCUAGACUGGACGGCUACAAAGAGAACCAUAAAAGUAUUCAAGCACGUCAGAAGAAAAGGAAAGAUAAAAUUCAAAAAAGAAAAGAGAAAAGGAAAGAUGAACAACCUAUCACUUGCCUCAUAUCUUUACCUAAUAAUAAAGAGGCUAUUGCUUCCGUCGAAAAACCCACCGCUGCCGUUUUUUAAAAAGCCCCCUGUCUUUUAGGUAAUUAAACCCGCAGUACCUUUUUAUGUGUUACGAACAUGAAAACGUUUCAUUUUUGCAGGGAGCCUCCCAUGGCAUUGGAUAAGAGAAACGCAUCUGGGCUGACGAAAACGCACGAGAGGGCUAUCGCUUCUGCCCUCAUAAUCCCACAUCGAUACUUCACAGAUAAUUUCAUCACUUUAUAUACAUGCGCCUUGGUGAUUUUACAAGAGGCAACGGAAAUCAAGAGAGGAACAAAUUCGAGAAGAAGAAAUUGAGAUGACGCAAACAGAGGUGGAGCUGCGAGACAGAGGGGGCUCGGGGCGAAGGAAAGGGUCGGGCGCCGGCGAUGCAUACGUGGAGGUGGGGGCGUCGGGGUUAGAGGAUUCAGGCAACCGGCGGGGUAAGUCUUGCCGGAGACUGGCCCCAUAGGCCGACCUCGCAGCAGCACACCAUGGGAGGUGGUCGCGAGGUGCAGAGGUGGGAGGCGGUGGAGGAGCGGAGGAGGAGGCGAGUGCGGGCGCCAUUGGAAGGGGGGAGUCGGGGAGAUUGGGGAUCCUGUGGGGCUCUCUCCCCUAGCGGCGCGAGGUGGAGGAGAGGAGGGGGGCUGGGGAUCGGGCUAGGUUAGGGGAUUUAGGAGUGGGUAAGGCUAUGCCUUGGCACGCCUAAUGGGUUGUGCACUACUACUCAUCUCUCUUUCCUUUAAUUUCUUUAUCUAAAUUCUUUAAUUAAAAAUAUGUGGUAUUAUUUUUUUUCCGUUGCAACGCACGGGUCCUUUUGCUAGUAUCAUCUAACAAAUCGAGGGGUUCGCAUAGAUCUGCUUCGCCACAUAAUAAUAUAAUCAUGACAAAAGGCUACCUUCUGGUGAAAGCAGAAGCUCUGCAAUAAAGCUGCAAUCGUAGACCUAUUUUAUGAAGGGAACCAACAAAUCGAGCUGCACAAUCCAAUUAAAUACUAAUUCCUCCGUUCCUAAAUAUAAGAUUUUUUAAAGAUUAUAUUAUGAACUACAUAAAAAGAAAAAUGAAUGAAUCUAUAUUUUAAAAUAUGUUUAUAUACAUUUGUAUGUAGUUCAUAGUUAAAUCUAUAAAAGGUCUUAUAUUUAAAAACAGAGGGAGUAUAAGUACUGAGUAAGUUUGACAUUUGUUCUUGGUCCAACAAAACAGUCGUGUGACCCAUGACGAAGCGGCGAUGCCGGAGUUGGAUCUCACUGUCUGAUAUUUAUCGAUUUGUGCCCUCCACUUGGCCAGCUUAAUUGAUCACCAGUCUCUUUCAUUGACAAUUAGUGCUGCUCAUACACGUGCGUUGCAUACAGAUGAUAUAUUGGGUUUAGGUACGGCUGUCUGAUCCACUUGGCCACCUUCUCACUAGAAAGCUCAAGUUUGCAGCGACGAGUUUGCAUGUUACUACAUUGGAUCGCCGUUGUUUAGCCCUGCGUGUGUGAUGAGGGGCGGAGACCCGGAGCAGACCCGUGCAGAUUCGUAUUCCCUUGGUUAUGUUUUAUUCUGUAUAUUAGGUUUGUAUAAUGUAAAACCUAAAUUUGCUUCGCCACAUAAUAUAAAAUAAUAUAAUCAUGACAAAGGCUACCUUCUGGUGAAAGCAGAAGCUCUGCAAUCAAGCUGCAAUCGUAGACCUAUUUUAUGGAGGGAACCAACAAAUCGAGCUGCACAAUCAAAUUAAAUACUACUCCCUCCCUUUUUAAAUAUAAAAACUUUUAAAAAUUAUACUAUGAACUAUAUAAGAAACGGAAUGAGUGAAUCAAUACUCUAAAAUACUCCCUCCGUUCUAAAAUAGGUGUCUUAACCUUAAUACAAUUUUGUACUAGAUCUAGUACAAAGUUGAGACAAUUAUUUUAAGACAGAGAGAGUAUGUCUAUAUAUAUUUAUAUGUAGUUUAUGUUGGCUUUGGAUCCGUAGAUUAAUUCACCCAGUAGCUACCACAUACGUGCAAGCUAGCCUCUAAGCUAGCAAGCAGGCACACAAGUGGAUGGAUAUCCAAUUCGUAGAAAUAGAACGACGUACGACGAGCUAGCUAACUGAUUCGAUCGUCUUGACUGCUCGGAAUGUAACUCGUUGAAAAACUGAUCGAUGGAUUGCUAACAGGCUCGUAUCGAGCCUGGUACUUUUUUAUUGCGUUUUGAUCUCUGGUGUUACAAGCAACAUCUCUAGGAUGCCUUUUAUACACAUCCACAAGGAACUAUGAAAAUAGACUAGGACUAGGUAUCCUAAUACUACUAGAACUCGGUUUGAUUUUCUUUCCUAAUCCUAUGUGUACAAGGCAACGUGAUUAACUCACAUUCACCCCCUAAUCACGAUGUCCUUACUUCCGACCUGGGUCCCAAACACGAUUGCUGCUUCUCAUAAAUGUUAUCAUCGACAUGGCCUUUGUCGUCCCUUGCAACAUUUUAUGGACCGUCUUUACUGUCGUCGGCUCGUCCGUAGCUCGAUGACAACACUCCUUUUUGGUCGUGUCUUCAAUCUUCAUCUCUUCUUCGGUGCUUUGUAGACUGUCCUUCGGAUCAUCGAGGGUACAUCUUUUGAACCUGAGCGUGACCAUACUUUGGUCUAACUUUGAAUUUCAAGCUCUUGGCGCUUGCAUCAGCCCGUAACUUUGAACCACAAGGAAGAAGUACUUCUUUCCUCCGUGAGUUGCUGGGGUGAUAGGGCCACAUAGAUCACCAUGGAGCAGCUAGAGUGCAUCACUUGCACGAUAGGUAGACUGAGCAGGGAACGGCCUGCGGUGCUGUUUUCCAACCAAGCACCCGUCACAUACUCGAUCAACAUGGUCGAUAACUGGCAUCCCGGAUACCAUCUCCAUCUUUGACAUCUUCUUCAAGGCGUAGAAGUUAACAUGUCCGAAUCAUCAUCACUCUUGGCGAGCCAACACUCCAGUUGAGAUUGAUCAAGGUUGAGGAUAUAGAGCCUGUUCCGUGUGCGAGUAACACGAGCUAGCACGUUUCGGAGGUUGUCGAAGAUCGUCAUUACUCCGUUAUCGAUACCCACCUUGCAUCCAUUCUCGUCAAGCUUCCCAAUAAAGAUGAUGUUGUUGUGAAGCCGUGGGAUGUAGUACACUCCGGUAAGUAUGCGAUGUUCGCCUGUGAGACCCUCGAAGAGGACAGAUCCUUGCCCACAAAUCUCCACAUUUGAACCAUCACCGAACUUGACUGAGCCUUCAACAUCGUAUUCCAGCUCGAGGAAUUUCUCCUUGCACCCCGUCAUGUGGUUACUGGCACCCGUGUCGAGAUACCACAACACAUUCUGAUCACCAGCUAACUUCGGUGUCACUUUGUUUUCAUGAAGUAGCACCUUCCGGCUUGGUUUCACAACCACCGUUUCAGCGAGAUCACAAACUUCGGCCAUCAGAAGACCUGGACCUUCGUCUUCCUCCUUUGCCAAAUUUGCCUUGAUCUCUCGCUUGUCAUGCUCCGGACAAUCCUUUGCAAAGUGACCCAUCUCGUUGCAGUUAUAGCACUUGACCUCGGACAUAUCCAAGUUCCGUUGCUUCCGCCCUUUAGAUCGGUCAGCCUUACCACGACCUUGUAGCUUGCCUUUUCCUUUGCCUUCUCCGGUUUGUCCGCCGCGCGUUGUGCUGCUUGAGCCUUCGUUGCCAUCACACCUUCCUUUGCUACUUGGGGACUCCCAAUCUGCACGUGAGUACAUGAGUUGGUCACUACCUCCUCCGUUGCCUUCCCGACAACUACGAGAAUUCUCUUCCCACGUCCGCAGGCGUCCGAUCGCCUCCGUUAUGGUCAUGUCGUCGAUGUCGUAAAGCUGCUCGAGCGUGCCAAUGAUGUACGUGAAUUUUUUAGUCACCGAACUGAAAAAUUUCUCCACAAUCUCGGUCUCCUCGAGCUUUGCACCAAGCGCGCGGAUCUCUCCCACCAAAGUAGUAAGACGCAUGGCAUAGUCGUUCACCGAUUCAGUUUUCUCCAUCUGCAACUUGUGAAAUUGGCGCUUCAGCACUUGUGCCCGAGCCUUGGUGACGCGAUCUUCUCCGAUCCUCAUCUCGUUGAGUGCGUUCCACGCCUCUCUUGCCGUCUCGAACUCCACCAAUGUCAUCAGCACGGAAUCCGGCACAGACUGGGCUAUGGCGGCCAUGGCACCUUCGUCGCGCUCCUCGUCGACGUCGUCGUCCGUGAUGGCCUCCCACACUCGAAGAGAUCGGAGAAUAAUCUUCAUCUUCACCGCCCACACGUCAUAGUUGGCAUCGGUGAGCAUCGGGUACUGGAUGGGGAUGUUGCGAUGCGCCUGGACGUUGGCGCUGCUCGUUCCUCCAUCACUCGUUGCUGACUUGUCGUCCUUCUUCACCUUGUCGUCGUUCUUGUUCGCCUUGGCACCGCCUUUGCCGGAUUUGACCGACUCAGCGUCGCUGUCCGUCAUCGUAGAUCGUAGAUCGUCGAGGCUCUGAUACCAAUUGUUGGCUCUGGAUCUGUAGAUCAAUUCACCCAGCAGCUACCACGUACGUGCAAGCUAGCCUCUAAGCUAGCAAGCAGGCACACAGGUGGAUGGAUAUCCAAUAGAACGACGACGAGCUAGCUGACUGAUUCGAUCGUCUUGACUGCUUGGAACGUAACUCGGUGAAAAACUGAUCGAUGGAUUGCUAACAGGCUCGUAUCGAGCCUGGUACUUUUUGUAUUGCGUUUUGAUCUCUGGUGUUAUAAGCAACAUCCCUAGGGUGUCUUUUAUACACAUCCACAAGGGACUAUGAAAAUAGACUAGGACUAGGUAUCCUAAUACUACUAGGACUCGGUUUGACUAUCUUUCUUAAUCCUAUGUGUACAAGGCAACGUGAUUAACUCACAGUUCAUAGUUGAAUCUUUAAAAGGGCUUAUAUUUAAGAACGAAGGGAGUAUAAGUAGUGAGUAAGUUUGGGACACGCCGUUUUGGCUCCCGGACUCAGAUGAGCCCGAGCGUAAACAGUACGCCAGUUUGGGGUGCAAAAAAUGUUCCAAAAAAUCAAAAAAAAUUGUGAUGCAAGAUGCUCCUAUGUGUGAACUCUCUGUAAAAUUUUGUGAAGUUUGGACAUACGAGGAGCUCACUGCAAAAAAGACGAAAUUCAGAUGUGUGAGAAACUUUUGAAAAUCACACUAUUCAUGCCUGAUUUUGUCUUUUUUGCUGCAAACUCUUCAAAUGUCCAAACUUCAUAAAAUUUUACAGAGUUCACACAUCGAAGCAUCUUGCAUCAUAAAAAAAUAUUUUUUUUAAACUUUUUUGUAUUCCAAACCGUUGUACUGUUCACCGGGCUCAUACGAGCCCGGGCUCACAGAUGGAUUACCGGUAAGUUUGACAUUUGUUCUUGGUCCAACAAAACAAUGGUGUGAUCGAUGACCAAGCGGCGAUGCCGGAGUUGGAUCUCGCUGUGUGAUAUUUAUCGAUUUGUGCCCUCCACUUGGCCAGCUUAAUUGAUCGCCAGUCUCCUUCAUUGACAAUUAGUGCUGCUCAUACACAUGCGUUGCAUACAAAUGAUAUAUUGGGUUUAGGUACGGCUGUCUGAUCCACCUGGCCACCUUCUCACUAGAAAAGCUCAAGUUUGCAGCGACGAGUUUGCAUGUUACUACUCCCUGUGUACCGAAAUAUAAGACCUUUAAGAAAAAUUCCGACCAGAUGAAAAUGUGGACAAUUGACCAGGUUACCCCCCACCUCCGGCAGCUCGCUAAUUUCAAAUCAACCCAGAUCCAGUCGCCCCCCACCUCCGGCCAGCUCGCUAAUAACCCAGAUCUCACUACUCUGCUUGUCCGCUCCCUCCUCUGCCCCAGCUUGUCCGCUCCCUCCUCUGCCCCAGCUUGUGCGGCCCCUCCUCUGCCCCUACCUCCUCUGCCCAGCUCGUCUGCUAGCUACCAGCAGCUUCUCCAGUAGCCAGCGGCAGCAGCUCCUCCGGCAGCUAGCAGUAGAUCCAGCAGCUCCUCCACCAGCCAAUAGGAACUCCAGCAGCUCCUCCACCAGCUAGCACGAGCUCCAGCAGCUCCUCCACCAGACACCAGCACCAGCUCAUCCACCAGCCAGCGGCAGCCCCUCUGUCUGCCGGCAGAAGCAGCUCUUCCGCCUCUGCACUCCCAGCUGCCUCAACGAGGUCCUCUCCCAGUGAUGCACCCAUCGCCCAACAGAUCGCCGGAGGUUUUUCUUUUGAUCCAGGGUGCAGAUCGCCACAGGAGGUCCUAGUGGUGUUGGAUCCUGCUUAUCCCGUCUCCUGCAAACCAAAAAAGCAGGACAAUUAGAGGGUAUUUAUCACAACUUAGCAACAGUUGAACAGAAAACAGUUUAACAACAGCAGCAAAAAUUUUAGCGAGAUCAACAACAUCAGUAGCAGCAUCAAGACAUAGCAACAAUAGCAGCAAUAGGGAGACAUAGAAGUAGCGACAUGGAGUGGCAGCAGGAGUUCAUCAAAAUCAAUAGGGAGUAGCAGCAGCAGGAGUUCAUCACAAUCAAAAUCAACAGGGAGUGGCAACAACAUGGAAUUUGACCUCAACUGUACUCCGCCCGAAGAAGAUGAGAUCAGUCAAAAUGAGAUCAACAUGGAGGACUCACAGGGAGGCAAUGAUCAUGUUGAAGAUGAGAUCAACAUGGAGGACUCACAGAGAGGCAAUGAUCCUGGUGAACAUGAUAUGAACAUGGAGCAAAUAAGGGGAGGCAAUGAUCCCCACGAAGAUGAUAACAGUAAGCACAAUAUACUCAUUUAGCAGUAACAGUGUCUCAUUUACCAAGUUUUUGAAAAUGAACAGCAAGUCUAGUUUCUGAAGAUGAACAGUAACUCCACUUUCUAGAAAUAAACAGUAAUAGUAACUCAUUUGAUCAUUUGAACAUGUGACCAUUUAAAUAUUUUAUCAAUUUAUCAUUUGAUAAUUUGAGUAGGACUAAUAUUUUUUCAUUGUUGUGUUUCUUGUUGCAGUUCUUGAGCAAGGAGUUAGAAAGAGGAAAACUCUGAGUGACCAACAAAAAUAUGCUGCUUAUGUGGCAUUGCACAUAUUAUGUAUGAGUAGAGGUGGAAAGUUCAAGAUAACGGAUAAGAAAAACCUUGCACAUUUUUUUAAUGUAGAAUUGAGGAGUAUACAAAGAGUUUGGCAGAAGGCGAUGAAGCAAAUUUCAGAAGGUUUCGAGGUGGAUGUUUCCAACCAGAAAAAAGGAAAUGUGGAAGAAAACCAAAGGACAUCAACCUAGAGAAAAUCCCUACAAUACCACUCAAUAGUAGGUCUACUAUCAGAUCAUUAGCCUGGCAACUGGGAUGUAGCCCUACCACUCUCCACAGGAAUUCAAAAUGAAGUUGAUAAAGAGGCAUACAAACUGUGUCAAGCCAGCUCUAAAGGAAAAGAAUAAGAAGGAUAGAAUGAAAUUUUGCUUGUCAAUGCUUGAUGAGGCAACAACAAAAACUGCAAGGCCUAAGUUCAAGACUAUGCAUAAUGUUGUACAUAUUGAUGAGAAGUGGUUUACGAUGACCAAGAAGAAUAAAACUUAUUAUCUGCUGGAUGGGGAGGAAGAGCCUACAAGGCCUAUACAUGGCAACUGUAUUGGCAAGGUUAUGUUCUUGACGGGCGUAGCUAGGCCACGGUGGGAUAGUGAAGGAAAUGUGACCUUCUCUGGAAAAACCGAUGAACUCACGAUAAACUGCGUGCGCUCUUUGUCCCAGUUUCAGUUCCCUUGUUCUUGCUUUUCUAUAUCCCGAUGAACUCACGAAUCCAUGAUCCAUGGUCAAUCCCCAAUAUAUAUACUCAAGCAAUAUACUCUCUCAGCAGUAUAUAAUCAAUCAUACAGGAAAGAGUAUCACUCUCUCAGCAGAAUACAUACUCACGAAUCCAUGGUCAAUAGCAGCAUAUACUCCGUGUGGGGAUUAGUCUAGCUCGUAAGCCACGGGUCCAAAUCAAGCAAUAUAUCUACACUAGAAUCUGUAGCAGAGUACACAUCUGACAAAACCGAGAGAUGUGGAGAGGAAGGGGGUAAGAGACGGAAGGGUACCUGGGUGAGGUCGCUGAGGUGGAAGCAGCCGGUGGAGCGGUCGAGGUCGCCGCUAGGGUGUCGCCGGUGCACUGGAGCUCUGCCAACUCGUCCCCAACUCGACGCCCAGCUCGACGCCCAGUCCGGCGCCCAGCUCGAUGCCCAGGUCGACGCCGUCAUUGCUCGGGCUCGGCUUCAGCGCCUCCUUCACCCUGUCCUUGCUCGCCCAGCUCGUCGGCUUCUUGGUCUCGACGAGGCUCCCGCUGAAGUACUCCACCCCCGCCGCCGCAUAGACGAGCAACCCAACUGAGGGCGCCCGCAGCUCCCGCUGAAGUGAUCUGCUAUGUCCAGCACCACUCCGUCAUCCAUAUCCAACAUCGGCGCCCACACCAGCUCUGUCGAUGCAAAACAAACACAUUUUUGACCUUUGAGUGGGAAAGGAAGGAGAGGAAGCACGCAGUGGGAAAGGAAGGAGACAACACACGCGGUGGGCUGUGGGAGGAAGAACGCGGUGGGCUGUAGGAGGAAGAACGGUGGGCUACGGUGGCCGGCGACGACGUAGAGAGGCGACGAGGGAGGGGAAUGAGAGGGUGUGAGAUCUGGGCAGCGAGUGGAUGAGAAUGGGCAGGUGGGGGCAUUUUCGGAAACUCGGAAAGUUUCGUAGUGUCGCGAGAUUUACACUAGAAUCGCUAAAACGUCUUAUAUUUCGGUACAGAGGGAGUACAUUGGAGCAGACCUGUGCAGAUUCGUACUCCCUUCGUUUUUAUUUAUUCUGUAUAUCAGGUUUAUAUAAUGUCAAACCUAAAUCCUUUUAACAAAUUUGUAGAAAAAUAUAUCAACAUAAUCCCUUCAUUUCACAAUUUAGCGCUCGUUCGUGUGCUUUUCGAGAUCUAAGUUUGACCAUACCUUUAAACAAGAAGACCGAUUGCUAUGGGAGCAAAAAUUGAAUCACUGAAUUUGUAUUGAAAUUAAAUACUGAAUUUGUAUCGAAAAUAUAAAUUCAUUGGUAUAAUUUCUGUUGCCACCGCAGUCGGUCUCGUUGGUGAAAUUUAUGGUCAAACUUAGACCUCAAAAAACGCGAGCGCACUACAUUGUGGAACGGAGGGAGUAUACACCAUCAAAUCAAUAUCAUUGGAUUCAUCAUUUCAUAUAUUUUCACAUCAUAUAAAUUUAUUAUUGUAAAUGUUCAUAUCGUUUUCUACAAAUUUCAUCAUACUUUAGAUAGUUUGACUUCAGACAAAACUAAUAUGAGGAGUAAAUAAAAUCAGAGGGGUACCACUCCUAGUAAUUAAUGUGUAUAUCCACUAGCUGCUGAUUGACAUUCAAAUUCUCCACUUGACGAUGGCCAGAGUAUCUGAUAUUCAAACUCUCCACUUGGCCACCUUAUUUCUUCUCCCCAAAUGAGCUAUGAACUGCUCAUUCAUCCAACAUUAAAAUCACUGUGAUGAAACUCUACUCUUUCAGUUUCAUAAUUAGUGCAUAUAGUUUUUCCCCAAAAAACUAAACUUUGACAAAGAUUAUAAAUAAAAAGUCUAUAUCUAGCACAUUGAAUACAUACCAAUAGAUUCGUCAAAAAUAUUUGCAUAUAUUAUAUGAUGGUAUUGUGGAUAUACAUAGAGUUAUCUAUAAACUUGGUCAGAUUUUACAAUGUUUGACUUUUCUAUAAAACCAAUAUGCACUACACUAGGGGAUGGAGGGAGUAUCGUAUGAAAUAUUAUGUGGAAUUAUUCCGUUUCAGACAAUGUUUGGUAUCAAACACAACAGGUACAAUGUUCUAUAGUUUCUCCAAUGUGCAGAAUUAUUAGUUGAAUUGGCAAUUAUUUACAGGAGGGGAGUGCGCUGGUGUGACCGAAAACUAAGUGGAUCGAUGUAUAACAAGCUUCUUUUGGUCGGCAUCAAGACGGUGUUCCUCAUUGUCCGAAUCGAGGACCGGAGUGCAGUAAAUUUUACCAAUCUAUGAUGCGCUCUGGGUGGAUGAAACUGCUCCAAAAGUUGCCCGAGUUCAACGACUCUGUGGUGACCUACGAAUCCGGCGAGCGGCAGAAGUUGCAAGACGUCAGGUAUGAUAUCGUAGGCAACAAUAGUGACCAGUGGAGUGACAUCCUCGACACACCCAAGGGCACCCGCACCUUUAAGCUUCCCUACCCGAUGUACUAAAUCGGCUAGGUUGAAUGCUAGCUAAUCGUCCACGAAUAAGCUCCAUGUUGUUCACUAUCCAUGCUUUGUGAUUACCUUUUUUCCGGGCAUGCUUCCUCAAUACUAAUCCACUAUUACUGCUAGUUUUCUAAUUUCUAUUGAGAAAUCUAUUGCUGCUUGGUUAAAUUCCAUAGUUGGGACCUUGAGUCAGUUACUAGUAUUAAUAAGGUAUGCUACAAAGAAAUUGCAUCUUGCAUAAUCAAUGAAUCGAUGCUCCAUUUUUCCUUGAUUAUAUAAUAUAUGUAGUUUCUAUUUUACACUUUGAUUUAUUUAUUUUUUACUUUUAAUAUUUCCUUUUUUUUCAUUUUCUAGUUUUAUGUUUUAUUUUUUUAUUUGAUCUCCCUUAUGUAUUUAUUUUCUUAUUUUAUUCUUUAGAAUGCUUUCUAUUUGUAAAAAAUAAUGAAUUUUUCCAUACCCUAAUAGUUAAAAACAAUUCCGGGAUAUUAAAAUUACGAUGAACAAGGUCCUAAUAUACGUCGAGAUUUUCCCAAAUACCUGAUGAAUAGUUUUUAUAUGUUUAAGUACAUUUAUAAUUUUGUAAUUACACCAUCAAAUUUAAAUAUAUUUUAAAUAUUUGUUGAAUGCACAAAAAGCAUUUACUAAAUAAUUCGGAACAUUUGCUAUUACAUUGUGAACAUUUCUAGAAUACACAUUGAACAGUUUCCAAACCAUGAUGACUUUUCUAAAUAUGCAUUAUAAAAUUUUCAGUUACACGAACUAAACUGUUUUACCCUGAAUUAUUAUUAUUUUUAAAUUUGUUUUUUCUUAGAAUUAUAAAUAAAAUUAAAUUGAAGUGUUUCAGAGUAUAAAGGACAGAACGGGUAAAAACAAUGACAGAAAAAAUAAAAAUUGCAUUGGGUCGGGUCAUUGUGGAAUACUAUGGGCGAGCCCAAAGGAGUGUUCAUUACUGGUGAAUUAUAGUAGCAACGUGAGGGAAAGUGUGCUUCUCAGCCCGAGCUCAAAUGAGCUCUGGUGAACAGUAAAAUCCAAAAAUAAUUAAAAAAAUAUGAAAUUGUUUGGUGAAAGAAAUUGAAAAUAGUCGUAACUGCCUCCAAAAUUGUAUUAUGAAAUAACAUUUAUUGAAGCCAUGGAGAAAACAAAAUCGAUACUCCAAAAUGCUUUUGAAAUUAGUAUUUUCAGAGUAUCGAUUUUGUUUUUUUGCCACAUGUCACACAAAUGUGAUUUUCUGAUGAAAUCUUGCAAGAUAUUAGAACUUUUGCCAAUGUUUAUCACAAAAAAAAAUAGAUUUUUCUGGAUUUUUUUAAUUUAGUUUUGAUUUUACUGUUCAUCAAAGCUCAUUUGAGCUCGGGCUGAGAAACUCCACAUCCCAACGUGAGCGCCUAUUUGGUGUCGUGCUCAUUUCUGGUAGCCGACAAACUGAGUGGUUUUGUGCGUGACGUAAAAGACACAAAACAAUCAGGGCACUUCGAAGGAAUCAACGUUGUGUCCUUUCACAGGGAAUGCGUGAUGCUAGUUGCUGGCCACUCGUGCCAACAAUUUUUGCUAAUAGAAACACAACAACAAUGUGCAGGAAAUUACUGCAGCGGUGAAUUCCAAAUAUUUUCUAAAGUACACAAAUAUUUCAUCAAAUCUGAACGUUUUUUGAAAAAUCACAGUAUUUUUAAGAUGCCCAAUAUUUUUUUUAACUUUUCAGAAUAUUUUAAAUUUCAAACUUUUUUUUUAAAUUGCCAAACAUGUUUUGAAUUUGUGGACAAAACUUUUGAACAGAGAAACAGUUUUACAACAUCUGAAACCUUUUUUGGAACGCAAUAAGUUUUUCCAAAUUUCCAAGCAUUUACAGAAAAUGGAACAUAUAUUGACCAUUUCCAAACAUUUUUCAAAAACAUGAAUACUUUUUGAUUUAUGAACAUCAUUUCAAAACAGGAACAUUUUUUGAUAAUUCUGAACUAUGUUAGAAAAUGCGAACAAUUUUUGGACGUUUGUUGAGAACCCAAUCAUUUUUAGAAGAAAAACAAUUAUUAAAGUUUCAGACAUUUUUUUACUUGUGAAGUAAUGACCAAAGAAAACCAUAAAAUGUAAAACAACCGAAAAUAAGGAAAAAAGGAAAGAAAAAGUUGAAAAAAAUAAAAAUAUGAAUAAUAAAAAAUAAUAAAUUCUGGAAAGCAGUGAAAAAUAAAUCACAAAACGGAGACCAGUUUAUACGUCCUGCUGCUAUAUGACAAAGUAAAAAAUCUAAAAAGAAAAUCCCACAACAAAAGCUAUUUGACAUACCGAGCGUCAUAUAGAAAAUUCAAACAACAACCACCACAGAACGCUGAUACAGAUGACGGGCAGGUGGAUGUUUCUCAGAAUCAGAUUUUGAAGAAUCAUGAGGCGAAAAGAACUGGUGCCUGCAAUCGGCCGUGGCAUGUACACAGGUGCUAGUAAUGAUAUAAAUCACGGAUAUUGAUUUUGAAGGUCGAGCUCCAUGGAGGUCUUUGAAUGCAAAAUUCAAAAUUCAUGAAAAUAUUUUUUUUUUAUAUUUCGAAAAAUUCCGUAACAAAUACAGAGAUAGAUGAAGGCAUAAUACACAAGUGUGUAAAUUUUUAGGACCAAAUACGUUGAAAUAAGGCUGUACAAAAAAGGCAAAUCUGAGGUUGUUUAACACAUGAUACUAUUCAUCCUCUCGGAACAUGAUUUUAUAUUUUUAUACAGGUUGCAUUUCAACGUAUUUCAUCCUUGUUUAGUUUUAUAAUUGUUUUCAAAAAAUCUGAGGAUGAGGCAUAUGUCUCACAUCCUUGUUUAGUUGUAUAAUUGUUGUAAGAUUUUUUUUUUAAUUUUGAACUUUUCAAAAAAUCGGCCUCGGCCAAAACGCCUUUCUCUAUAAAUCGUGAUUUGUAUACUGGUAAGAAGAAUGAAGCAAUGCAUAUUCAACUAAACAAACUACAUAUUGUCUUGAAUUCACUCAUUUGGAAUCUAGCUAGAAAGGGUGCUUUUUAGGUGCCCAGAUUUUUUAAUUUUUUUGAGGGAAGUGACGAGGUUCUUGGGAAGAAAAGAUUUAACAGAUUCAUUGGUUUUCACAAAGAGAGCAAAUCAAUAUGAGCGCAGAAGCAAUCGAGUUUUGCCAUUAUUAAGCAACAACAUGACAUACAUGAUACAACUAGAGGUACAUAUAGCUAAAUUAGCGGAAGCCCUUUGUAUUGGUACUGCUCGCCGAGCUCCGCGAGCAGAUCGUUUUCCGCCUUGAGUAUGUCGCCCAUGUUGUCCAGCAGGAGGUACUUGUCCAGCGAGAAGCCCGACUCCGGCGAGAUGAGCGCCGCGACGUUUCUCAGGAACUCCUCGUCUAAUGGGGCAAGGGGCUCCCACUUUUGUCCCGACGUCAGCAGCGGCUUCUGAGGUCGCCGCCUCACGACCUUCAUUUUCUUCUUCUUCAUCGUCAUCCUCCUCUUCUCCCCUCUUGCGGGCGUCGGCGACUUCGCCCCCGCCUCCGUGUUCUCACACGAUGAACUCGCCAUGAUUCUUCUCCCGUCCUUCUUCCGCUGAGAAGAUUGGUCUGCUCUGCUGGUUUCGCAGACUUGCGUGCUCGCCGGCACCGGUAUAAAUACAGCAAAAAUAAGAGAUCGAUGAUUCAUUUCUUGGCUAGGGGAGCAGUUCGUUGUAUCCGACUCGUAUUCAGUCCACGGUUCCGGUUCCUACUCCCGCAUGGUCGACGCAUCGGUUGGGAUCCUAAUUGGGACGGCCCAAUGGUAGGUUAUUUUAUAGUAUUUUUAUGUAUAUUGUCUAUAAGGACGUUACUGCAUCAAAAAGAAAAGUAUAAUGGCUCUGCAUCUAGUCUAGUUGCUGAAGCGUGUGCGUCGAACAGCUUCCCCAUCGCUUAGUGACAGUUCAUGAAAUCGUGUGCGAUGACCAUUUCUAUGGAUUUUUUUUGCAUGAUAAUAUGUGUCUCAUUUAUAUCAUAAUGAAAAUAAUACAAGACCAUUGUUGUGGAUUAUAACAACACAUAUACACAGCCAAAUACAAACCCUACGGUCUUGGUCACAAUAUAGUGGUACAGGUGUCCAUUAGGACAUAUGUCCGUGUGUUGCAACGGAAAAAAAAUUAAUUUGUAUUUGCAAGCACAACACGUCAUGCUCCGCUACGAAAGAACGCUAGUUACCACAUGACCAAAACGACCAUCGAUGCAUCACUACAUCCAGAGAGUGUCACCACCUGCAGGGAGGCGCACGUCAAAGCCUUCAACAAACGCGGGGACUAUGUUACUCCCUUUGUCAGACAUUAUUAGGCUGGUGGACCACUUAGCCUCAGCCGGACAUUAAUCAUGAAGUGAGCCUUAGCGCAGAUGGUAAAGAUAUCUUCAACGUGACGAUGUGGCGUUGUGGCUCCCUGGCCCAGAUCUUCCCACCAAUGAAUAGUAAAAUCGACAAAAAAUAGAAAAAAUGAUUUUUUUUUUUGGAGUGCAAGAUGUUCCUUUGGGUGAUGUCAAAAACUGCUUGGAGCUGAUUUUUAUUUUUUUUUGCCAGACGCUCCUCGAAUGUCCAAAUACCUCGAAAUUUUGCAGACAUUUUAGCAUCUUAUGAGCCAAAAAGGAUUCAGAUUUUUUUGAUAUUGUGCUUUUCACCGGAUGCAGAUGAGCCGGGGACCAUUUUGAUUAUUAUUAUGGCUAAUCUAGUUUAAAUGUGUCAUUGUUCAUGUAGCCCACAAUCAUUUUUUCUUUUAUUGUUUGAACACACCACGUCCUUCAUUUCUUUUAAAGGUUUCCUUGCAUGUCUGCUCGUCGUGCAGUUCAUUCCUUUUAAUUGUCAUUCCUUUUAAUUGUCCGCUUUUAGCAUCCAUUUUUAACUGUCUUGCUGAUAUUCCAAGCAAACCGCAAGGUAUAUAAACCGGUAGGGAUCUAUCUAAAGAGGCAAGGUGGGUUUAUUUAACAUAAAAUAUUGAUGUCGAGUUAUUUUUAAAAAAACAGCCUCAACUUUAUUAAUUAGAGAUAAUUGUUACAUCGUCUAUUAAAAAAGAUACAAUAUUUUCCAAAGGCUCCUCAAUCCACUCACUCGUAUCAGAACUCUUUGCUAAUCUAGCAAGCUCAUGUGCUACUUCGUUCGCUUCUAGUAAAAAAAAUUCAGAAGCCAUAGAAAAACAAUCCUCAAAGGUUGCAGCCGCCGCUCCCGCAUAGUACCCUCCCUUGUUCAUUGUUUCAAUUACUUCCGAGAAUAUUGAUGUAGAGUUGGUUAGUGCAGUUGCCUUACCCUGGACAUGGAGUAUUGAGUUUAAUCUUCCAUAAAUACAUAUUUUUGUACACGUUGUUCGUGGCCCAUGGCAGACGGCCCAAUAUUGUAGCGAAGCCCAGCAGUGCAGCAACCUGACAUGGUACGAUAGAUGGUGAGGUGUAUGCGUGCUAGCAACGUAAGAAAACGGCCAGGGAGAGGCAAUGUAUGUACAAUAUUUUUAACCAUGGAUUCAAGCUCGUAAAAUUUUGAGACUUUUCCAUAAAACUGUAUGACAGACUAAGAAUACAUAUUUUCUUAAUUAGUAGGUAUAGAUGCGGCAAGUGGAUUGUUUCCUGGUUUUGGGAAGUUUCCAUAAGCUUUUCAGACGGUUUUUCAUUUUUUCUAUUUUGGGGUUUUCCUGUACCAAUCUUGUCUAUUUUUUAUUUUCUACUUAUUUUCAUUUUGCUUUAUUGCAUAUUCUUUUACUUUUUUUCAUUUUCCUUUUUCUAUUUAAUUUUGGCAAAACACGAAUUGUUUCAAUUUUAUGAUACUUUUUUUAAUUGAGGAACUCCUUUUCGAACUCGUUUUUUCAAGUUCAUCAUUAUUAUUUUUUAAAAUUAUCACCUUUUUAAAAAAUAUAUGAACUAUUUUUAAUGUUUGUGAACGCUGUCUCAAAAUUGAUGAACUUUUUUCCUAAAUGCUGAAGUUUAUUUUAAAACUGAUGAACUUAUUUUAAUAUUUGAUGAUCUAAUUUUAAAACCGGAGAAUGUUUUUGCAAAAUAGACGAACUGUUUUUCUAGCAUAUGUACCUUUUGAAAAUUCAUGAACUUUUUUUCAAUUUUUGGGCUUUUUUUAAAAGUUGAUGAGCUUUAUUCAAAAUCGUGAAAUAUUUUCCAUCUAUGUGCAACCUCUUUUUUCAAAAUCAUGAACAUUUUCGAAUUGAUGAACUAUUAACAGAGAUUAUACGCAUGACCUUUUUUGAAUUCGCAAACUUUUUGUUGAAAUAUCUGCAUUCUAUUUGAUUUUCUGAUUAUUAUUUUCAAGCUAGCGAGCGUGCUCGUGGGCUCACCCAUGCUAGCAAUGGUGCGAGCUGGCACUGGCGCAAAACGCGUCAAUUAGGAAGAGCAACUAAUUAAGGAGUACUCGUCCGAGAGCCUCUCGAAGGGUCCAUUGCCACGUGUCGUACUCUUGGUGUUUCCUUUGGAUUUUUUUCUAUACAUAUUUAUGUCUGGAAUUUUGGCUUUAAGAUGAUUUUGUUUUCCGGGUUUUUUUGGCUUUUCCGUUUACCCCCGAUUUUUCUUACAAUUUAGACCCAAAAAUAAGAUUUUAAAGAAAAAUCACAAAAAAAUGCAUUUUCUCUUUCUUUUUUCCUACCCUGAGAGACAUGGAUUUGCUUCUCUUAGAGGCACAUGUGCCUCCUGAAAAAGCAAAAAAAAUGUUUUUUCCUUCCGCGAGGCAAGGUCGUGCCUCUCAGAAAAGAAAAAAGAUCCAUUUUUCCUUUCACGGAAGUACGGAUUUGCUUCCCUGAAAGGCCUAGUCGUGCAUCUUGAAAAAGGAAAAAUGCAUGUUCUCAUGAAGGAAAACAACGUGGUUUUAGUUUGGUUUUUUUGUUUGAUUUUUUCGUGAAAAAAAGUCCAACGAAACAUAUCAACAUGUGGUCUAGUUUUUAAGAUCUCGACGCAUGGAAUCUAACGGCAAAACCAGUUCUAGAUUUGGACGUAGGUUUUGAGAGAUAAAAUGUUUUGAAUAAACAAAUCUGCGAAAAAGGAAAAACCCUUAGGUUGCUACAAGUGACGCACAUGCAGUUGAAGACUUGUCGCACCCUGGGUUGGGGGAGUGAUCUUUGCCAAGAGUAGUUUUCAAUUAGUGAUUUCGCUAAUUAGAAGCUCGCAUCAUCUCCGAUGCGAGCACUAGUGGAUCAGCCCAUGUGCGCUCAUAUGGGUUUUUUGGAGCGGCUUUUGGAAGCUUCUAUGGAGCUGUUUAGACAAAUUUGAAAACCUUUCAUUCAUUUUUUAUGUGUUCACUAUAUAGAUUUACAUGGACUAAAGUAAAAUGUAGAUUUACAUUAUUUUUUCCCUUAGUUUUCUUUGUGUGUUUUUAUUCAUUUUUUGAAUACACAUGGAAUUUUUGGAAAUACAGUUCGAAUAUUUUUUGUUUACAUGUUAUUUCUUUUAUACACGUUGAUGAUUUUUGUAGACACAUUUAAGUGUUUUCCAAAAUAAACAGUAUUGAUUUGUCAAAUGAACAUUGGAUUUCUUAUGAAUAUAAGGUGAACAUUUAUGAAACACCCAUUGAACAUUUAGAAAAAUUCCAUGAACAUUUUUUUCUUAAAGCAUGCAAAACAGUUCUUAAUGUUAGAACAUAUUUUUUAAUGUCAAAGACAUUUUUGUUGAAUGGUACAAAAUAUUAUUUAAAAUUACAAGACCAUUUUUACAUACUAGAAACAGUUGUGGAAAAUGUUAUGACCAUAUUUUUGAAACGGCUGAAUAUUGUUUAAAUUUCAUAAAUAUAUUUAGAAUGGUAUGUCAAAAGUUUAAAAAUAUGUGAAUAUUGUUUCUACAUUGUAUAAAAAAUUUAAAAACUGUCAUGAACAUAUUUCUGAACACAUGAACUAAAUGUCAGGAACAUUUUUCGAAUGGUACAAACAUUUUUAAAAUUGUGGAGACAAUUUAUUACACUACAUGAACAUUUAUUUGAAACACGCAAUGAACAAGGGGUAAGGGACACGUGUCAUGUGCUUUGCUAGCGCAUCGUGGUUGCUGAGUGUCUCAUUCCUUUGUUGUUGAGUUUUGUUUUAGUGCGGAGUGUUUUUACAGUAUACUCGAGAAAGAUCCUACGUUACGAAGGAUGUGUUUGGUAGGCGUUUCUAGCGGGACUGGCUCGUGGACAUUGGCUCAACAAAGUUUGGUUGAGAUAAAACGAUCAUAAAACUAACAUCUGCAUUUAGUUUGGUUGCCGGCAUACAUUCUAAACUGAAUGGGGUGUCAUGAAAGACAUACUAUUUGGUUGUCUGUUUGUGUAUGCGCAAACACAAGGCCUACUAUUUGGCUGCAUGCAACACUUGUUGUGAGAUAACCUCUUCGAUGCGGUGGUGAGGUUACCAUCACAUAGCGGCGUCAGGAAGAACACACAACAUAACAUAGUAGUAAGCAGUUAUAAAUAUUGUGUCACAUUUAAAUAGAUUAGUUUAAAUGCAAAGCAGUUCAAUAUUAAACUAAAGCAACUAGAGCAUAUGAGCGGUUGUCCUAGACGUUCACAACGAAGGCAUCGUCAUGUCUCCCGCACCAGGCCACCACUUUACUGCCAUCGUCAUUGAAGACGAUGACCUUCACCAUGUCGGGAGUCAUCAACUGUGACCAUGAAGCCUAUCUUGAUUUGUUGGACGGCGACGAAGGUGGCCCAAACCUGGUCGAGGGUGACCCUUUCGUUCAACAGACGGACAAUGACCCUCCUAGAGCACUCGGUGUUCGCCUUCAAAUUGAACUCCUGUGGCAUAGACGGGAAGUGCUUCAUGAAGUCGAGUGGCAUAGGUAUGGCCUCGAGUGGCAUGAUUACCUUGCAGAAGUUAUUUGGCUCACCCAUCUCAUGGUAGUGGUCGUAGUUCUGACGCUUGUCGCUGGGGGGCUCCUCCGCGUAUCGUUGUCCGUGACCGGGCUCUGGACAGGCGCCACCUUUGAGGGCGGCACAACAUCCUUGCACUUGUAUUGCUCCUUUGGUGGCACCACCUCAUUGCCCUUGUUCUCCGUGUCGAUUUGCAGUGUGAAGAGGUUCAAACGAUUGGGUCAGGAUUUGCAAUAUGAACAUUGCAUCAUUGUCAUUAACUUAUUGUCGAGAACCCCAUUAUUUACCUAGGCUGAUGGUUACCACUUACCCACCACCUAGUUGUUUGUCUCUCUUCCUCCAACCCAAUGCCAUGAACUCUAAGAACAAGUCUAACCCCAUCCGCAACCCCUUUCCUUGGGGCAUUGGAUGGAGGGCCUUCUUCCUAGGGUGCUCGCUCGAUGACCGCACCAAGUUUGAGAACACCAUGAAAGUGUGUUCAAACUUCAACAGCUUGGAGGAGCAGUACAAAGAGUAGGACGCUAUGGUGAAGAAGGCGAGUCGGAGGAGUUGAAGACGCUGAUCAGUGACCCAAUGAAGGGUUCUAUGUGAGCCGACAUACUUCAUUGAGCCAUGAAUCAAGCCGUCCCCGGCGACGCUGGACAGAGGGAAAACUGAGCCAAGUACAGACAGCAUCGGUGUUCUUAUGACCACGGGGCCGCAACGUACUUCACCACAAAGAUUAUGGUGGUGCCGGUGGAGGAGCAUCAAGAAGUGCUGGCUAUGGAGGUGGAAGAGGAAGAUGCAGUGGCGACGAUUGUGAGGGCGCUGGAGCUAGGACACCUAAGCAUGCCAAUCAAGUUGGACUCCGGCGAGGAAGAAGAUAUGGUGGUGUAGGUCGAGGAGAAGACCAAGGCCAAGGCUACCCACCGCUCCAAUCGCCUCCAGGGUCCUGUGUACUAUGUAAGAUGAACCCUAAUCCCCAUUCCGAUUGUACUCAAUCCUGAUUGGGAACCUCAUAUCUACCCGUAGUCAUGACGAUGUUAUGACCACUCCUAUGGUGUUUACCCCGAUUCCCCAUUCUCCUAACAUGGAUCGAACCUAAACUCGGAUCAAAUGCAAAGUAGUACAUGAGGAGGGGGGAAAGUGCUUACCGCCAUUGCCGAAGUGCUGCUGUGGAUGCCGGUGAAGAGGCCGGAGUCGAUUUGCUGUUCCUCGAUCUGAUGCACGCCAUCGCCGCCGUCGGUGAGAGUAGGGAGAGUGGAAAGAGAGCGGUGAGAAAAGGUAAGGGUAAUGACUGUCGACGCUUCGGGAAACAACGCGGCUUCUCAAGGGUGGCUCCCCUUGUGCAACCCCUGCCGCCCACGUGCAUCGCAGAGGCCUGGCUCGCGAGAAACUACCAAUUCGAACGUGCCUCGCGAGACAUACCCAGACAUGCUUUAAAGUUCGUGACAUGCAGGCCCAACAAUGUAUGUUGACAACCAAUCAGUUUGUUUUCUUUCCACGGGCCUGGUUGGACCUUAUGCGGGCAACCAAACGCAUCCCCAAGUGUUGUUUAUUUGUCGGAAUUUUCUAAGGUACUGGGCAAACGACAUGUGUACUGAGUGCCCAUGAAAUUACACCAGGCAAACUGUAAAAUACUCAGCGUAAUUUUUUUCCUGUAGUUGUACAAUUGGCUGCGCUGCAGUUCCAAAUUUGAUAAAGUUACAAGGUUGGUGUACCAGAAAUUCAUUAUCUACCAAUCAUCAAUAUGUAUGCACAAAACAGUUGCCUGUCUGGGCCUUUGUAUCAACGUCCAUCCAUGUGUAACACGUUCAGCGGAACCGUCUACCAAACGUCUGACAGACACAGACACGUGCAUAUCCUCCAAACCGGGCAGGCUGGUUGCUUGCGCCCUCGUCGCUUUCUUGUCGAACUGGCUCCAUAUAUAGACUAAUGCACACCACAGUUCAAUUUCCAUUUUCGUUUCAGUCAUCGUACAUAUGACUGCAUUAUUCAGCUAACGUUUAAGCAUAGGGAUUUUUAUUUUCAUGUCCCGUCUUUCUUAGUUAUGAUUAGUUUUGCCCCGUUCAUUUAACAUUGCUCACUUUUUUCCCUUCUUUACUCAUCUACGCCUCGUAAAAGAUCAAACGGUGUGUUGACAUUGGGUUAGACCAGGGGCGGUCCUCAGAUUUUGGGGGCCCGGGGCUGGAUUAAAAGCCGGGGCCCUUAAUAUAGACAUAAUAACAAUAACACUGAAUAUACGUACCGGUGAAAUAUAAACACUUAAAUACGUCUAAUACUAAUAUGCAUAUCAAAUGUUUUAAAAAUAUUACCUCAAACAAUAAUUCUGACAUACCUUGAUGCAAAGGCCAUUAUGAUGGCGUCGAUGUUAAUAGCGUCCAAUAAUUUCUUCUCGAUGACAUAAUGUCACCAGACCAUAUAAACACUCUUGGUUCAUCGGUGACCUCACAUAGUUCUUCAAUCAAUAUUUCCAACUUCAGAGAGCUUCUUCCGACCAAUACGAUAGUCACAGGCAUAGUAAAUAGGAUGCAAUAAGCAAUGGAAAUAUCAGGAUAACAGCCAACUUCUAUUGACAUGCUGCAAAUCUCCAUUGCAGAUAUUACAGUCAUAUGGCAGAAUGAAUCCCACAAUUUUUAAUUUAGAAGUAAGAUCAUACUCCCUCCGUUCCUAAAUAUAAGACCUUUUAAAGAUUGCACUAUAAACUAUAUAGGAUGUACAUAGACAUAUUUUAGAAUAUAGAUUCACUCAUUUUGCUCCGUAUGUAGUCUCCUAGUUGAAUCCCUAAAAGGUCUUAUAUUUUAAAACGGAGGGAGUAUAUCUCAACAUCAUGAUACACAAUGCUGACAAAUAACAUUAAUUGUUGAACAAUAUCGAUGUACCGGCGAUGCAUCUACAGAAGCACAAUAAGAAUAUAUGAUAUACGUACCUCGGAUGGCUGAAUCAGCCAUGACGGAAAAUCAAAGCCGGAUUAUAGGACGCCCCGACGAAUUGAAAUCGACGGCGCGCAGCUGAUGAUCUAAAUUAGGAAAGAAAUUAGGUUUGGGAGAAAAGUAGAAAGGAGGGUCGAGCACGCAGUGGCGAACAGACGAUGCGUCGGCGGCCGCUAGGAAUCGCUGCGUCAAUGCGAGAUGGAAUAGGAAGGGAUCAAUCACUCCUAUUUUUUCGUGAAAAAACGGAAGGAACGGUUGCUGCCUUUGUGCCUCGCUGGACUGCUGGGUGCAUGUUUGCCUGCAUGCUACGUGAGGCCCAGUCAACCAACCCGAUAGGUCAUUUUUUUCUGAUCUGUAAAAACAUUAAAUAUGUUUGGACAAAGCCUAUGUACAUACGUGGGGAGGGCCCCCUAAACUUUGGGGGCCGGGGCGGCCGCCCCCCCCUGCCCCUCCCCUCGGCCGGCCCUGCGGUUAGACUACCAACAAUGAAAGUAACAUAGGUGGUAACAUAGAUAUCAUCUAAACAACAAAUGUGAUGUGGCAACUAAUUAAAGAAAAGUAAGAGAAAUUGAAUAACUUAGCAUGUUACUCAUAUUAGGAGUAACAUAGCGGAUACCAAGGCAAGAUGGGUGUAUAGGCUAAUAAAUAAAAGACUCAAUGUUACUACCCCUAUGUUACUAUCCACUAUGGAGGUAGUAACUUAGAUUAGUAACAUAUGUAUGUUACUCCCCAUUGGUCUUUCAGCGGCGUUCAGAGACUCCUUCAUAUUAUUAGACAUAAUUAUGUCUAGAGACACAACACACGAGGCUAUACGUAAAUCACCCUUAGAAUACCAGCGAGCUCUCGUUUAACCUACGGACCCGAUGGGCCAUGUUAAGACUGGUAUGAAUACCAGCAAGCUCGCUGACAAGGAUCCGACGACUCCAUUACCCCUCGCAUCGCUUAGAGAAAAAACCCGAUACAAGUCACCCCCUUGACUUGAUCUGGAAUUAUCUGCGAGAUGCCAUCUAUGCUCUCAUCUAUCAACAAUUUCAACACAUGUUCUGCCGGAGUUUUGGUGCUUGGAAACCAUGAGCAAACCGCUUGUCACUUCUCCCGUGAGAGAGCGUCACCGGCACAGAACACCUCCAAUGGUUUCGUGAUUGCCGAUGGCGGCUGCAGGAUUGGGGGAGGUAGGCUGCUCGGGCUGCGGGGGAUGCGAAUUGAGAGAGAGAGAGAGAGAGAGAGGGAGGGAGAGGGAGAGGAAGAGAGAGAGAGAGAGAUUUCGUCCCCCUUUUUAGGACAAAUGACCCAACCAUCCACUAGCCGGUCCCACAUGUCAGCAUUUCAUGUCAGUCCCAUGCGUCCACGCGUCAACACCGGACGAAGUAACGGUCAACAGUUUUGACCCGACGGUGAGGCAUUGUUUGGCCUUUUGCGAGACGGAGGCGAGUAGAGGAGGGAGAAAAGUGAGUAAUGUUAGACGGACGAGGCAAACUGAGCACAACUAAGUAACGAUGGACGAGGCAACUUACGUAAAACCAGCUACAAUUAUAAUAGCUUUCGAUGUACACCCGUGUGAUCACCAGCCAUCUAACAACCUUUGCCGACAGUUGUCCUUCAUCCACAAAGACAACAUCAUCCAAAUAAUUCACUUGCAAUCCAGGUUUCUCUAUCAUCUCUUUGGACAUUGUGAUAUUUACUAAUUCCCGAUCCAGAGGUCUCAUACGCCAUGGCGAUGUCAUGACCAGUCUAGGAGAAGAAGCACCUCGUAAACUAGAGCGGAACAGAACCUGGGUUUUCUAGGCAUGGCCUCUCGAUAAGAAGUUGAGAAGAUUAUGGCUGAUACAUGGUGAGAUAGGAUGAGGUGUCUACGCUGCCAUACGACAAAACCCUAGUAACAGGGGAUGCUUUAUCUGUGUUAUUUUUUAAUUAAAUCACAUGAAUAAUUGGCCGUGUGUAUGUAAUUCUAUAUUAAUAUAAUAGGACACAAAGAGGCAGGUCCAUAUCAUCUCGGCCAACAAAUCUAAGAUUUGAUGGUUCAUGUUGAGCACCAAGAGACGAAAACCGCUCGCGUCGCCUCCAGGGGGCGACACGGGCGCCCUAGCCGCCGUCGCCCUCGACCUCCCUCCUCCCCCGCUUCCCCGCCGUUGCCGGAGGAGGCCGGCGAGCGAAGCUCGCCCGGCGGACGACGGACGGCGGGCCUUCCUCCCUUCUUCACGAGGGGGUCCUUUGGCUGAGAUGCGACGGCGCCCCUGGGGGUACAACAUGGAGGCGGAGUUGGCGUGCUCGGGCGGCGUGGGAUCCCGGCGGCGCUGCGGGGGCUGGCGGCGGCGGAUCUGGGGUUCCCCACCCCAGAUCGGUUCUCCUCCGGGUGGUCGGGCUCAGGCGCCGUCCAGCGGCCCUAAGCGGUGGUGGACGCGCGCGUUGACUGUCCUCCUUCACAGAUGUGAUUGGAAACGACAGGAGGUGUUGGCGUGCUGCUAGAUCUGAACAAGGUGAUGGCGUCAUCCCCUUCAUCAGGGAUGACGACCAGGUGGUGGGUUCUUGUGGCGUCGCCGGUGGCGGCGGAUCUUGGGAUCCAGUUCCCGGGGACGUCGUGGGAUGUGGUGGCCCGUGCAGGAGAGAUGGGUUCUUCGAACAGAUCUGGGUCAAAGCUUGCUUUCGGCUAUUGCUAAGGUCGGCGAUGGCGGCGCUGUCUACAUCGUUCCCUUCCUGAAGGCAUCGCCGAGGAGAACUUCAGGGCCACUCUCUGCUACCUCCUGGGGUAACCCUAGAUCAGUAGAUCGGAUGACGGCGACGCUCUGGUGUCAUUUCCCCCUUGGGGGCGUCAUUCAUGGUGGUACACACGGGCUCGAGGGACCAUUGGUCGGCAUUUACGAUGGAGCAGCGUUCCUAGUGACACAUCGACGUUGUGGAGUCUCGGCGGCGAGGCGCGGCAAAGUCUCGGCAAUGAAUGCAUGAUGAUGAGCACGCGUAGGGAGGAGGCGUUGUCUGGCGCCGUGGGGGCAUCGAUGGCAGGCCUUGCAAGGUCGAUGCGUCAGUAAUUUUUCUGAAGAUGGAUUGAUGGAAGGCGGCGACGACGACCUAUGAGGGUGCGUCGGACCGUUUGUGCCCCUGACCCGGUAUGUGGCUCUGUCGGGGCCUCCGGCUUUAGAUGUUAGGCUAGGUGAGAGGUCUGGGUAUGUGGCUCACACUUUCUGCACCCCCUUCAUCAUUGUAUAUGAGUAGCGACAGAUGUUGCCAAGAGGACGGCUUCAGACAUACGCUUAACACUCUAGCUAAUUGACCACCAGUAGCACGGGAGAGGUGUUUUGGCUCCCGGGUAUAUGCACUCGGAUGAACAGUACUGCGAAAAAAGUUCUAAUUUUUUUUGUAGAUGAUUGUAUUAGUGUCGCAAAUAUGCAUGACAAUUUUCGUGCGAUAAGGAGCAACGGUGUUUCAUCAGCAAAAAAGACAAAUUUAGGAUGACAUUUUGGGGUAACUUUUGGUGUUCAAUUUGUUUUUCUUGCACAAACCAAAAUGUUUUAUCUUUUUGUCUCAAAAUUUACAAGUAGUAUUUGGAUGUGACAAAGCAUACAAACAAAUUUUGUCUCAUUUUUUUCCAUUUCAAACUUUUUUUUGGCCCCGAAAGCAUAUGCCGGGAGCCGAAUUGCAUUUCCGCCGGUAGCACUAGUUACAUACACACUAGACUCCGCGCAAUCCCAUGAAAUCUGUUUGGCGAUUAACAUACGGCUAAAUAUCAACAUGCAAAUAUUAUCUUACCAAAUGUACCAAAUGUGUAACUAGUAUCUUAAUUCUACUCCCUUCAUAAACUAAUAUAAAAACAUUUAAAAACAAUGCUUUAGUAAUCUAAACGCUUUUAUUUAAUUUACAAAAGGAGUGCUACCUAAUAUCAACAUGCAUUGCACCAACUCCCUUCAAGGUCUAAUGCGUUUUUAGGGUUGCCCUUGACUAUUGAUAAGAUUAAUAAUAUAUGAGAUCUAUGAUAAAGAGUCUUUUCACAUCCGAAUUUGACAAUAUACCUGUAACAUGCAAGUUAUAUAUAUAUAAUUGCUCUAACCCGUGGCCAAAGGAAAUCUUGCAAAAUGUAUCGGAUGAAGGGAGAACAUGAUAAUACCAGUCUAACAAAUAUAUCCUCUCCAAUCGCAAACAUUUAUCCCCUUGGAUCACAACCAUGCAUACCCCUUUUGAGUACUCCCUCCGUCCCAAAAUUAAUGUCGAGCAUGUAGUUCAUUGGGAAUUUUGCAAAAAAAAACCUCGUAUUUACAAAAUCGUCUCAAACAAGCACCUCCACCCCUAUCUUCUUCGUCCGUCCUCGCCCGUGCAUCGCGAGAGGCCGCGCCGUCGAACUGGAAGGGCUCCGCCGCCGUCGCCGCCAAUUACCUCCUCCAUCACCACAACCCAGAUCUGCGCCACCGGAUCUCUUCCCGCUGCAGUUACCUGUCGGCGUCGUUCUCGAGCUCCUGCCGGCGUCGGAACCUUCCGCCACUUCGUCCUCUGGCUCCCAUGCGUCAUCCUCGAGCUCCCGUGCAUCCUCCCCAAGCUCACGCGCAUCCUCGCUGGAAUCUCUACUGCUCCUUCUCCCUUGCAGCCGGUGUGCCUGCUUAUCCCCUGUCACCGGAGGAGCUCCUCUGCACGUACUUGUUGGAAUUAUGCCCUANNNNNNNNNNNNNNNNNNNNNNNNNNNNNNNNNNNNNNNNNNNNNNNNNNNNNNNNNNNNNNNNNNNNNNNNNNNNNNNNNNNNNNNNNNNNNNNNNNNNNNNNNNNNNNNNNNNNNNNNNNNNNNNNNNNNNNNNNNNNNNNNNNNNNNNNNNNNNNNNNNNNNNNNNNNNNNNNNNNNNNNNNNNNNNNNNNNNNNNNNNNNNNNNNNNNNNNNNNNNNNNNNNNNNNNNNNNNNNNNNNNNNNNNNNNNNNNNNNNNNNNNNNNNNNNNNNNNNNNNNNNNNNNNNNNNNNNNNNNNNNNNNNNNNNNNNNNNNNNNNNNNNNNNNNNNNNNNNNNNNNNNNNNNNNNNNNNNNNNNNNNNNNNNNNNNNNNNNNNNNNNNNNNNNNNNNNNNNNNNNNNNNNNNNNNNNNNNNNNNNNNNNNNNNNNNNNNNNNNNNNNNNNNNNNNNNNNNNNNNNNNNNNNNNNNNNNNNNNNNNNNNNNNNNNNNNNNNNNNNNNNNNNNNNNNNNNNNNNNNNNNNNNNNNNNNNNNNNNNNNNNNNNNNNNNNNNNNNNNNNNNNNNNNNNNNNNNNNNNNNNNNNNNNNNNNNNNNNNNNNNNNNNNNNNNNNNNNNNNNNNNNNNNNNNNNNNNNNNNNNNNNNNNNNNNNNNNNNNNNNNNNNNNNNNNNNNNNNNNNNNNNNNNNNNNNNNNNNNNNNNNNNNNNNNNNNNNNNNNNNNNNNNNNNNNNNNNNNNNNNNNNNNNNNNNNNNNNNNNNNNNNNNNNNNNNNNNNNNNNNNNNNNNNNNNNNNNNNNNNNNNNNNNNNNNNNNNNNNNNNNNNNNNNNNNNNNNNNNNNNNNNNNNNNNNNNNNNNNNNNNNNNNNNNNNNNNNNNNNNNNNNNNNNNNNNNNNNNNNNNNNNNNNNNNNNNNNNNNNNNNNNNNNNNNNNNNNNNNNNNNNNNNNNNNNNNNNNNNNNNNNNNNNNNNNNNNNNNNNNNNNNNNNNNNNNNNNNNNNNNNNNNNNNNNNNNNNNNNNNNNNNNNNNNNNNNNNNNNNNNNNNNNNNNNNNNNNNNNNNNNNNNNNNNNNNNNNNNNNNNNNNNNNNNNNNNNNNNNNNNNNNNNNNNNNNNNNNNNNNNNNNNNNNNNNNNNNNNNNNNNNNNNNNNNNNNNNNNNNNNNNNNNNNNNNNNNNNNNNNNNNNNNNNNNNNNNNNNNNNNNNNNNNNNNNNNNNNNNNNNNNNNNNNNNNNNNNNUGUUGGAAUUAUGCCCUAGAGGCAAUAAUAAAUGUGGUUAUUAUUAUAAUUCCUGUAUCAAGAUAAUAGUUUAUUAUCCAUGCUAUAAUUGUAUUGAAUGAAGACUCAUUUACAUGUGUGGAUACAUAGACAAAACACCGUCCCUAGCAUGCCUCUAGUUGGCUAGCCAGUUGGUCAAUGAUAGUCAGUGUCUUCUGAUUAUGAACAAGGUGUUGUUGCUUGAUAACUGGAUCACGUCAUUGGGAGAAUCACGUGAUGGACUAGACCCAAACUAAUAGACGUAGCAUGUUGAUCGUGUCAUUUUGUUGCUACUAUUUUCUGCGUGUCAAGUAUUUAUUCCUAUGACCAUGAGAUCAUAUAACUCACUGACACCGGAGGAAUGCUUUGUGUGUAUCAAACGUCGCAACGUAACUGGGUGACUAUAAAGAUGCUCUACAGGUAUCUCCGAAGGUGUUAGUUGAGUUAGUAUGGAUCAAGACUGGGAUUUGUCACUCCGUGUGACGGAGAGGUAUCUCGGGGCCCACUCGGUAAUACAACAUCACACACAAGCCUUGCAAGCAAUGUAACUUAGUGUAAGUUGCGGGAUCUUGUAUUACGGAACGAGUAAAGAGACUUGCCGGUAAACGAGAUUGAAAUAGGUAUGCGGAUGCUGACGAUCGAAUCUCGGGCAAGUAACAUACCGAAGGACAAAGGGAAUGACAUACGGGAUUAUACGAAUCCUUGGCACUGAGGUUCAAACGAUAAGAUCUUCGUAGAAUAUGUAGGAUCCAAUAUGGGCAUCCAGGUCCCGCUAUUGGAUAUUGACCGAGGAGUCUCUCACGUCAUGUCUACAUAGUUCUCGAACCCGCAGGGUCUGCACACUUAAGGUUCGACGUUGUUUUAUGCAUAUUUGAGUUAUAUGGUUGGUUACCGAAUGUUGUUCGGAGUCUCGGAUGAGAUCACGGACGUCACGAGGGUUUCCGGAAUGGUCCGGAAACGAAGAUUGAUAUAUAGGAUGACCUCAUUUGAUUACCGGAAGGUUUUCGGAGUUACUGGGAAUGUACCGGGAAUGACGAAUGGGUUCCGGGAGUUCACCGGGGGGGGCAACCCACCCCGGGGAAGCCCAUAGGCGUUGGGGGAGGCACACCAGCCCUUAGUGGGCUGGUGGGACAGCCCACAAGUGCUCUAUGCGCCAAGAGAAGAAAAAUCAAGAGGAAAAGGGAAAAAAAAGGAGGAGGUGGGAAAGGAGGAGGACUCCCUCCCACCAAACCUAGUCCAACUCGGUUUGGGGGGGGGAGAGUCCUCCCCCUUGGCUCGGCCGACCCCCUUGAGGGUCCUUGGACCCCAAGGCAAGGCCCCCUCCCUCCCACCUAUAUAUACGGAGGUUUUAGGGCUGAUUUGAGACGACUUUUCCACGGCAGCCCGACCACAUACCUCCACGGUUUUUCCUCUAGAUCGCGUUUCUGCGGAGCUCGGGCGGAGCCCUACUGAGACAAGGUCAUCAUCAACCUCCGGAGCACCGUCACGCUGCCGGAGAACUCUUCUACCUCUCUGUCUCUCUUGCUGGAUCAAGAAGGCCGAGAUCAUCGUCGAGAUGUACGUGUGCUGAACGCGGAGGUGCCGUCCGUUCGGUACUAGAUCGUGGGACUGAUCGCGGGAUUGUUCGCGGGGCGGAUAGAGGGACGUGAGGACGUUCCAAUACAUCAACCGCGUUCUCUAACGCUUCUGUUGUACGGUCUACAAGGGUACGUAGAUCACUCAUCCCCUCUCGUAGAUGGACAUCACCAUGAUAGGUCUUCGUGCGCGUAGGAAAAUUUUUGUUUCCCAUGCGACGUUCCCCAUCAGUACUGCUGCUGGUCAUCUGCCUGAGUUGUUGCUGCUCCUCUGCUGGAGUUGAUGCUCCUCUGCUCGAUCUACUCUGCCGCUGGUGAAGCUCUGCCCGUGGUACUGCUAUUCCUCUGCCCAUUUGCACCUGAAGAAGGUACUGAUGAAACUGUUUGUUGUUUACUGCUACCUAAAACUGCUGUUGUUUGAGAAACUGCAUUGCUUGAGAAACUUGUAAUGUUGUGGUAUCGAAAAUAAUUUUGUGCAAUACUUGUAAUGUUGUGGUAUCAAAAAUAAUUUUGUGGAGUAUCAGAAACAGAGAAGCCUGGUUCAAGGUUUUGCACUGGAAACAGAGCAGUCUGGUUCAAGGUUGUGCACUGGAAACAGAGCAAUCUGGUUCAAGGUUUUGCCUAGAUAAACCAGACCGGAUGAGAGACCAAAUACAUGGGCAAGUAGUCAAAAGAAACACAUAAUUUGCCUAGAAUCUUGUUGUCCUGUGAUGCAAGAAAAUUUCACCAUGUGUAUGUUGUGGAACGCUUACAGUUGCACAAAUCAGACAUAUCAGUAGGUUGGUUCAGGUGUUGGUUCUUGGCCUAUUAACAUAGAAAGCCCCUUUGUAACUACUAGGACAAUCAGCUUGUGUAAAGAUCAUAUUUAGAGACGAAUUGCAAGCAUUAACCUGAUCUUAACAUAUAUAAAUGGAUAUUAAGUUUUCCAUUUUAGGCGAAUACAGAUAGAGGUUUCAACUAGACCUAGUGAGAAAUGGUUCCAUGGUAGCAUUUCUUGUUUGGCUGUCGUAGCUCGAUUACAUAUUGUUUUUACGUGCGUAUAUAUUCUUGUUACAGUACCAUGGUGUACUCAUCUUUUGUCAUUGAUAGCAGGAGUAUGGAUUUGAACAUGAUACCUCAAGAGGAGGAUGAAGGUAUUAAUUUGAAUUGGAUCCCUCAAGAGGAAGAGGCUCAAGGGGGAGAGGAUGGAGGUAUGGAUUUGAACAUGAUGCCUCAAGAGGAAAAGGAUGAUGGUAUUAAUUUGAAUUGGAUCCCUCAAGACGAAGAGGAUCCAGGGGGAGAGGAUGGAGGUAUGGAUUUGAACAUGAUGCCUCAAGAGGAAGAGGAUGAAGGUAUUAAUUUGAAUUGGAUCCCUCAAGAGGAAGAGGCUCAAGAGGAAGAGGAUGAAGUUAUGAAUUGGAUACUUCAAGAAGAAGAAGAAGGUCAAGAAGGUGUACCAGGUAAACAGAAAAGAAAAGAAUUGUCAAAUAAGGAGAGGCAUGCUGUUUACUUUGCUCUGCUAGUAAUCGAGCUCAGAGAUGGAUCUGUUCAACCAAACGACAAGCUGCUAGUAUCAAUCUUGUUGAACAUACAUGUACGAUCUAUUGAGAGAAUCUGGUCGGAGCCAAAAAGCAGAUUGCCGCGGGCCAAGAAGUAGAUGUCUCCAACAAGAAGAAAGGAAGAGUUGGUCGAAAGAGAAAAGAGCUGGAUCUUGCAAGGACCUCAACAAUCCCAUUGAAUAGAAGAAGGACAAUUCGAUCUCUGGCACGGUCUCUCGGUGUGACCCGCUCAACCCUACAUCGGAGGUUCCAGUUAAAUGAGCUCAACCGCAUCACAAACACAGUCAAGACUUACCUCAAACCAGAGAACAAGAUUGCAAGAUUGAAGUUUUGUAUGUCCAUGCUCGAUGACAAUUGGAUCUCAACUUCCCAAGCUAUAUUCAAGCCAAUGACUAAUAUGGUCCAUAUAGAUGAAAAGUGGUUUGACAUGACAAGACUAAAGAACAACUACUAUGUACUUCCAGGAGAGCCUCCACCUGAGCGCACCGUGACAAACAUUAACAUCAUUGGGAAGGUAAUGUUUCUAACGGUUGUGGCCAGAUCUCGAUACAAUUAUGAUGGAGAGCUAACAUUUGACGGGAAGAUUGGUAUUUGGGCAUUCAUCAAAGAGUCUGAGGCAGUGCGAACGAGUCACAAUAGAGCAAGGGGAACGACAGUGCUGAAACCAGUGAAAGUAACGAGACCUGUGUGUAGAGAAUAUCUGAUCAAUAAGGUUAUACCAGCAAUUCAAGAUAAAUGGCCUGACGAUGAUGAGGGAGCAACAAUAUUCAUCCAACAAGAUAAUGCAAAGCCUCGCGUUCUUCCCAACGAUGAAGCUUUUCGAGAAGCUGUGGAAGAAACUGAUCUCGACAUUAAGUUGAUGCAACAACCUCCAAACAGCCCAGAUUUGAACUGUUUGGACCUCUGCUUCCACAAUUCUCUCCAGUCUCUAACCGAUUGUAGGUCACCUACAAACAUCCAGGAACUGAUACAGGGUGUGGAAGAGGAGUUUGAGAAUUAUGAUCCUCACAAGUUGUACAACAGCUUCAUCACAUUGCAAGCAGUUAUGUUUGAAAUUAUGAAAGAUCAAGGAGGAAACCAAUAUAAGUUGCCCCACUUACACAAGGAACGUCUUCAGAAUGACGGCAGAGAAAUAACAAGUGUAUAUUGUGACAGUCAGCUAGUUGCUGAUACUAGGGCCAUUCUAGAAGAAAUGCAAUAGGAAAAGGAAAGGAAGAAAAGAAGUAGUUGUAGAAAGGAAAAAAAGAAUUGAACUUAUCUGAAUUGUACUCCUUGUGUACUCCUUGUACUCCUUGUGUAUGUCUUGUGCAAUAGGAAAAUGCAAUUGGAAUCAUUUGAGAUCAAUGAUGAUACUGGUUAUCCAACAUUUCCAUCUUGUGUAUCGGAAUUCAUUUUAAUUGUUUGGACUAAUUUGUUUGAGUUUAUCUUGAGUUUAUCCAGCAUUUCCAUCUGUAUUGGAGAUCAAUGAUCUUGUGUAUUGGAAGGGUCAUGUACAUGGGGAUGUUGCCUCAAGUUUUAUUAAAUUUAUUGUUUCAGGUUUCAGUAUACAAAGAUUACUGGGGUAUUGUCUAUAGUUUGGAUAAACCAAAUAAAGUUCACAAAUCUUUAUUCCCUUUGUGCAUAAAGUUUACAAAUCCCAAGCAUAGAGUUGGGAUCAACAAAAAAAUUCUAAGCUUACAAAUCGUGAGUGCUUUCAUCUCAAAAAAAUUCUAAGCUUACAAAUCCAGAACUGGUAGCCUUCCUUAUCUCAAUUCUCUGGUACUGAUUUUUGCUCUCUUUUUUUACCUUCCUUCAACAAGUUGUUCCUUGAACUGCAGGUACUCAGGGACAGUCAACUCCUCGUCGUCUGAAUUCUCAAGUACAGUAGUACUAGUAGCUUGGUUCAGGUUGAUUCUCAAUGAUGCCCUGCACUUGACACUAAAGCCUCCAGCCUGCAGAUAUACAAACGAAAUACAGAUACAUGCAUCAGUCUGAACCUGAAGAAGAAGGAAUGCAACCUGUGAAAUGUGUGAAAUGCUCCUACCAACAGACAAUGGAUGGUUUUUUUGUUUUGAUUGGUCUUGCUCUCGGUUUGAAGAUGAAGUGGUGUUAUUUCGCUUACCGUUGAUGUUCAAGUGUAGGCUUUUGCCUGCCCAGCACCUCUUAACCAUGUCAUCUCCUUGCAGUGCGUCUGGUUCAGGCCGAGCUCCGGGAAGCGGCUGCGCAUCAGCGGCAGCAGCGUGUCCGACGUCCCCAGGUACAUGGACUGGAAGUUGGCCUCCUGUUUCUACACGAGCACCCUGAUGAAGAGGUCUUCGGGGAGAGCUGGGGCGACUUGUUGCCAUCUGGUGAGGACGUCCACGGCGCCCUGGUCGACGGACUUCGUGACGCUGAACAUUGUCACUGUCGGGGGACGGGAACGUGCUUCACCUGCCACGAGAGCACGACGCCGAAGCUCUCGCCGACGCCGUUUCCGACGCAGCCGGAGAAGACGGCGGCGGUAGGUGGAGAAAUCAUUGCUUUUUAUGAGGAAGGGGGAAGCUUGGGGAGGCAGGCGAGUCGCAACUGCGGCGGCGGAGCGGCGGGGGACCGGGGGAGCAGGGGAGUUGCGGCAGGCGGAGCUGCAGCGGGCGAGCGGCAGCUGCGGCGGGGGAGUAGGGCAGCUGCGGCGGCGAGGAGCAGGCAAGCUGUAGCGAGCGUAGAUGGGGCAUCUGUCGGAGGAGGAGGACGAGGAGCGCGGGUUUGGUCGGGAGAAGCUGUAGGGGCUUUUCGCAAAAUUACCGUCGCGACAUUAAUUUCGGGACGGAGGGAGUAGCAUCUAAUCCUUCCAAAUAACACAGAACAUACGUGUUGCACGACCCAAAUGGGGCCCGGUCAAUGACAUCAAUCCCAUAUGUCACUCUCUGCUCCUACUACCUCGCUGUCCAUUACUUCAUGGUAAAUCUGGGGACGAGGAGGACAUGGUCGUCUGUCUGGCUCUUCACCUCCCUCGGGAGCAGUGCACUCGACCACGGUUGGACUCUAACCGGUGGAAAUCCAUGGUGUCCGUUCAAAUGUCGUUUGGAUGCGCAGGGAUGAUUGCUCGAGGCGUGCGGGCGCGGCCUCGACGGACACAGUGAUCGCCGUCCAAUUCUAGUAUGAUGAUGCAACCCCUUUGGUGGUGCCUCAUCCCUACGCCCUCGGGCUCGGAGUCGAAGAUCUGCACCGGCAUGAGUUACGGUCCAUCUUCUAACAUGGAGUGGCAUACCCGUCGUGCAAGGCAAAGGCCGCGUGGCGAGACGUAGAUGCUCUAACCACAUCUAGAUGGGAUCACAUCGAUUUAUGAUAUCCCGACUUCCCGAUCAACGAGUCUCCUCUGAUCAAAACCAUGUUACCCUAAUAUGCAUGUAAAAAAGUUAGGCUAAUAUGCGCGUAAAAAAGUUGAUUAACUGCUGCUAAAAUGGUGUGAUGUGAUAAGCCGGCCCUCCCCAACAAGAAAUAAUAACAACUGCCCCCCUAUCUCUCAUAUCCAAUUUAUAUAUGAGCCGGAUAUAGCGAGGACUGGAUGCGUCCGUCAGGUUGUAUCCGGCUCACGCUGGUUCAUCCCGACCCAUAUAUAUCCGUCUCUAUCUCCAACCUGGACGAAACCCUAGCUACUCCACCCCUCUUCUUAGCUCCGUUCCGAUGAUCUCCAGCCAUCUCCGACAUUACAGGCAGCGUCCGACACGGAGUUGGGAUCUCGCCCCAUGCGGGGAUGAGGAGGACAUGGCCGUCCGGCCGGCACUUCGCCGCCCCCGGAAGGAGUGCGCUCGACCACGGUUGGACUCUAUCCGGCAAAAACCCAUGGUGUCCGUUCAAAUCUCGCUUGGAUCCGCAGGGAUGAUGGCUCGAGGCGUCCGGGCGCGGCCUUGCCGGACGCGGUGACCACCAUAAUAUUCUAACUCCGGGAUGGCGAUGCAACCCCUCCGGUUGCGCAUCAUCCCUAACAUGGAGCGGCGUACGCCGUCGUGCGAGGCAUAGGACGCGGGGGCGAGGUGUAGAUGCUCUAACCGCAUCUGGAUGAGAUCACAUCGAUUGAUGAUGUCCGGAUAAACGAGUCUCCUCAGAUCAAAACCGUGUAAUAAUCCUACAAAAUAAAGACAUCGCCCAACGUGUUCCAGAACGCUCUGAAUGAGACCCCGCGAAUGGCAACAACCAUACCAUUUAUGAGCAAGUUUUGUCAGUCCCCCCACCCGGCCAGCCCGUGACAUCGAUGUAGCAGCUUCCGUUCCUAUUUAACCAGCGUACCAUUUGCACUACAUUGCAUCACAGCAAGCACACACACACACACACUCUCUAGAGAAAUGGCGAUGGCUAGGACGACGGCGCUCCUCCUCGUCGCCGCGGCUCUCCUGGCGGCCUCAUCCAGCGCAUGGGAGGUGAACAUCCAGAUGCCGGCGUCGGCGGCCGUGGACGAUGCUGUGGCACCGCUCAUCCACGCGCUGCGGCCGCUCCUGGGCUCCGGCAAGCAAGCCGGCGUGGCGUGCGAUAGCUGGCGGCUGGGCGUGGAGGCGCACAACGUGCGGGACUGGAAGACGGUGCCCGCCAGCUGCGAGGAUUACGUCGGCCACUACAUGGUCGGCGACCACUACCGCCGGGACUCCAAGGUCGUCAUCGACCAGGCCAUCGCCUACGUCGACUCCCUCAAGCUCGCCGGCAACGGCAAGGAGGUCUGGGUCUUCGACGUCGACGAGACCACCCUCUCCAACCUCCCCUACUACGCCAAGCACGGCUUCGGGUACGU